AAAUCCUCUCAGGCAUUCAAAAGAUUCCAAAUAUCCUAAACAAGUACUCCUCGAAAAUUUCCACUGAAAAAUCUCUUAAGGCAAAAGAAAGAUGUCUUACCGUUGGGGGCCUGGGACCCUGACUCAAAGAAGGUAAUGUAUUUGAAGUCUUUGUUUUUGAUGAAAGUUUUAUAUAUACUUUGUAUUUUUCCAUAUCAUACAUCUAAACUGUUUUUUUUUUUUUUUUUUUUUGGUUAUUUUAGUUUGUGGUGCUGGGGAUUGGACUCAGGGCCUUGCACAUGCCAGGCAAGUGGUCUUACACUGAACUACAUCCCCAGCCCUCUGAUUUAUUUUUUAAUAAAAACAACCUUAAUAUUUUAUUUUUUUGUGAUACUGGAGAUGGAACCCAGGGUCUUGUACAUGCUAGGCAAGCACUCUAUCACUGAGCUACCCACCCAGACCUUUUUAAUUAAUUAAAUUUUUUUUUUUGAGGCACGGUCUCAUUAAAGUAUCCAGACAAUCCUCCUGCCUCAGCCUCUUGAGUAGCUGUGAAUACAGAUAGGUAAGGUGCUUGUCUAAAGGCCUUAAUAUUUUCUUCAAAAAAUUUUUUAUUUGUGCAUUAGAAUUAUACACGAUAGUGAGAUUCAUGAUGCCACAUUGGUAUAUGCACAUAAUUUGAUUCCUCUCAUUCCCUAGUCCCUUCCUUUUCCCUUCCCCAUUUGUUUUCUCUACUGUAUUGAUCUCUCUUCUAUUAUUAUUAUUAUUAUUAAUUAGUGUUUUAUAAUUAUACACACACUUGGGGGAUUUAUUUUGCUAUAUUCCUACAUAGACACAGCAUAGUUUAGUUGAUUUAAUUACCCAGUAUUUUCUCAUGCCCUUCCCUCCUUCAUUCCUCUUGGUCUCCUUACUCUAUUUUAAUGAGAUUCCCCCUCCCAACUUUUUUUUUCUCUCUAUUUUCUCUCUAACUUCCAUAUAUGACAGAAAAUAUUUGGCCCUUCACUUUCUGAGUCUGGCUUAUUGAACUCAGCAUGAUGUUCUCCAAUUCCAUCCAUUUACUUACAAAUGACAUAAGUUCAUUCUUCUUUAAGGCUGAGUAAAACUCCAUUGUAUAUGGAUACCACAUUUUCUUUACCCAUUCCUCUGUUGAUGAGCACCUAUGCUGGUUCCAUAGUUGGCUAUUGUGAAUUGCACCACUACAAGCACUGGUAUGCAGGUAUCACUAGAGAUGAUGAUUUUAGAUUGUUUGGAUAAAUACCAAGGAGUGGGAUAGCUGGGAUAUGGUGUUUCCAUUCCAUCUUUUGAGGGAGCCACAUACUGCUCUUCCAGAGUGGUUGUACUGAUUUGCAUUCCCACCAACAAUUACUAAGUGUACCUUUCUCCACCACAUCCUCACCAGCAAUUGUUGUUCUUUGUAUUCUUGAUGACUAUUAUUCUGACUGGAGUAAAAUGAAAUCUCAGUGUAUUUUUGAUUUGCAUUUCCCUGAUUGCUAAGAAGUUUGAACUUUUUUUUUUUUAAUUUGUUGACCAUUUGUAUUUCUUCUUUAGAGAAAUGUCUAUUUGGAACUUUUGUUCAUUUGCCGAUUGACUAAUUUGUUUUUCUGACCUUAUUUUAAAUUGUUUGUCAUUGAGUAAAAUGGAUGGUCUAGGAAGAUAAGCUUUGAACAUUCCCUAACAUACCAUUCAGUGUUCUCAGAGGUACUGAUUUUCAGAACGGAGGCCUCCUCUCUGUCAUAGUAAGUCUUUUGAUAAAACAGGCUAAACUAAUUAUUAAAUGUUUGCAGUUACAAACAAUGCUGCAAAGCAAAUGUCCAUCAAUAGGGAACAGGUAAAAUUUCCAUUUUGUCACAUCUAGUCAGUAAGUCCCAGGCAACUGUUUAAAAGGAUAAAUAAAUCUACUGUGCUGUAUGCAAAUAAUGCCCAUACUGUGUCAAGGGAAAAAGUCACUGAAUGGUAUUAUAGUGUAAUCCCAUCAAAAUAUCUGUAAAAAAAGUUUUUAAAAGCUUUGUAUGGCUUUGGAUUUGGCAAAAUUUUAUUUUUCCAUGGGAAUGCAUUAUUUAUUUAUUUUUGUAUCAAGUAUGGAUUACUGCAAAUCUAAAACAACAAAUAUAAACUAUUUUGAAAAAGGAGAAAAGCUUUGCACAGAUGGACCCAUGGUAAACUGAAACCGAUAGAAACAAACACUGUUUAUUCAAAAUUUUUCUUGGAGAUUUGAAUAAUCUUAACACUAAAAGGAAAGAUAGAUUCUUGUGUUCUGCACAAAUUAGGAAUUCUUUCUUUCUACAAUACCACUAAUUAAUAUGGACUCAUUUUUAAUGAUUCUACAUGAUGCCUUAAUACCAUUUAUGGCAGAACACUUAGAAUAUAUAGAAGAGAAUUAAAAAGAAUAAAUACCGCCCCCCCCCCAUUUCUACAAUCCAGAGAUAAUCUAAAGAGUUUUUCACAAAUUGAGCACAGUCUGGGCUUUUGUUCCCAUUGGUUUUUAUACUUUUUUGUUUUUUAAAUCUAUUUGUGAGAACACAUCUGCUCCCUCAGUUAGAGGUGACAGCAUUUGAGUCAGGAAAAGAUAGCUUUUACAUUUCUCUUUAAUCUUCCCUAGAUUACACAAAAAUGGGAUUUUUAAAUGUUCCUCAAAGCACAUAAUUUCCUUUAGAGGCUCAGAAGUUUGACAAUUGCUCAUCUUAAAACCUGCUCCAAAAGAUUGCCAUCUUCUAAAUAAGGUUGACCAUCAUGGAGAGCAGAACAUAUUUGGGGAUCUAAUUCAAAAUGGGAAAUUUUCUGGAAGUCUUAUAUUUUUCCACAAAGGGCAAUAUGCAUUUUUGUAUUCCUAGGAAUAUCUAUAUUUUGUAUUAAAAAUUAAUAUAUUGAACUACAUGUCAAAUAGUUGGUUGAGUCAGAAAACCUUAUUGUGCCUUGGUCCUGAAUAUUCCCUGACAAACUGACACAAUGCCAUCCUAAAUGUUAUGUUUUCAGAGGCAGUUGCCAUGGAAUUUUGGCUCUGUUGUCCUGAAAAUGAAGUUCAAAUACUAUUCUCUUAAUCAUUGAGUAAUUCAACACACAUUUUCUACUGCAUAUGAGGAACCAGGAUAUUGGUUCUUGACAAUCUUAGGUUCUGCCAUCUCAGAAGUUACUGUCAAGAGAGGGAAACAGCAGGGCAAAGUGACUCUCAUCUGAAAUCCCAGCUAUUAGGGAGGCUGAAGCAGGAGGAUCACAAGUCCAAGGCCAGCCUGGGUAAAUUAGUGAGCCUCUGUCUCAAAAUAAAACAUAAAAAGGGCUAGAGAUAUAACUCAGUGGUAGAAUGCUCAAAGGAGGUUCCCUGGAGGAAGCACAACCUACAUUCAGAUUCAAAGAAUUAGCCAGAGCAUUAGGGAGGGCGGGAAAGGGGUGCUCCAGGGUGCUGUGGUUAUAAGCACAAUGCCAGGGGCAACAGAAAGCUAGCACAUUCAAGGAGCUGACAGACGGUGAGUAGGCCAAGAGUGGAGUUUGAGGUGAGGAGUGGAAGGUGUGCUGUGUGAAAGGACCACGGAGUCCAAAUGUGAAGGACCUUAAGAAACUCGGUAAUGAGUUUAGACUUUGUUCUAGAGCACAGGCGAAUACACAAAAGGUUUAAAGCCAGAAAAGAGAUUGGAGUUGGUCCACCAGACUGGAGGUACAGAGGCUACCCUAAGACAUUGAUUUAUUUGGAUUUUUCACAGCUUUAAUGAGGACAAGAGCAUGUAUCUGAAGGAUUGCCAGGGGAUUUGGAUGGUAUAUUAGAAAUAAAAAAGCUAGAUCAGUGUCUAGCCUAUGUUAGAAGCCCAACAUUAUCUCCUGGUCCCUCAGGAAUCUACAGUUUGUAUUUUUGGUAUCUGAUUUGUUAUAAAAUGUUGAUAAUUGAAUUGAUAUUGAAUUGCUACAUGAUCAACUGUAGUAAGACGCACGUGGUCAUCAAUAAAUGACCAUGCCUAUCAGUGAAAGGGUAAUCUAUGUUCUCACACAAAUUAUUGGAAUCGUAAAGCACAUAUUAGCUUCCAUGGCUACUGGGAAAUCAUUGGACACUUUUUCAUAGUUUCUUGUCUCUAAACUAUGUAAAUGCAUUUCUUCCUCAAAUUUAAUACUCUCUUCAGAUUUCAUAUAUCUUUAAACUUUUGUCCUUGUUACAAACACAUCAAACCACAUUCUUUUAAAAAAAUUUAAAUUUGUUUUAAUUAGUUAUACAUGACAGUAGAAUACAUUUAUGAACUUUGAUAUAUCAUACAUAGAUGAAAUAUAAUUCUCAUUUUUCUGAGUAUACAUGUUGCAGAAUCAUAUUGGUCAUAUCGUCACAUAUAUACAUACAGUAAUAUUGUGUGUUUCAUUCUACUGUUUUCCUAUCUCCACAUCCCUACCUCUCCCCUCCCAUCACUUCCCUCUACCUAAUCUAAGGUAAUGCUAUUCUUCCCUAGUGCCCCCCCCCUUAUUGUGAAUUAGCAUUUGCAUAUUAGAGAAAAUAUUUGGCCUUUGGUUUUGUGGGAUUGGCUUAUUUUACUUAAUAUGAUAUUCUCCAAUUCCAACUAUUCACUGGCAAAUGCCAUAAGUUCACUCUUCUUUAAAGCUGAGUAAUAUUCCAUUGAAUAUAUAUAUCACAUUUUCUUUAUCCAUUCAACUAUUGAGGGACACCUAGGUUGGUUCCAUCAUCUAACUAUUGUGAAUUGAGUUGCAUUCUUAGUAGAAUGAAGAAGCAGUGAGGGAAAGAAGAAUUGGGGGAGGGGAAUGGAACAAUCACCAAAGGACACUGUGUUUUGGCUUGUGCAAUGUAAGGUAAAUGUUUUCUUUAGACUACAGAGAACUUUAUGUCAAUAAAAAGUGACACAAAGGGCUGGGAAUGAACUUAGUAGUAGAGCCCUUGCUUAGGACUUGUGAGGCCCUGGGUUCCAUCUUAGCAUCCCCUCUCCCACCACAUACACAAUGACACAAAACAUAACCUAUUGAUAGUUGAAAUUCAAUUUGAAAUGUGCAUUUUAAAUAAAAUCAUCUUUGGGAAUGUGACUUUGCCCCGAGCUGACAAGUAGACUUAUUUUUUCUCAUUAUUUUACCAAGUUUGCUUAACAAAAUCAUGCAGUAGAAUCUAUUAUUAUUAUUAUUAUUAUUAUUAUUAUUAUUUUAGAGAGAGAGAGAGAAUUUUUAAUAUUUAUUUUUUAGUUUUCAGUGAACACAACAUCUUUGUUUGUAUGUGGUGCUGAGGAUCCAACCCCGGGCCACACGAAUGCCAGGCGAGUGCGCUACCGCUUGAGCCACAUCCCCAGCCCCAAAUCUAUUAUUUUUGAGAAUUAAAAAUCCACUAGAAUUAUUAAUAUAGUCUGAAACCCAACAGCAUAGUAUUCAGAUCCUCCUGGAAUUCUUUAGAAGGGACGUGGACCAGAGGGGGCCCUGAAGAGUCACACCAAGAUGGCAAGGAGUGGAAUGAAUUCUCUCCAAUGCCUGUGUAGAAGCAGAGACAGCAACACAAAAACACCAUUCUCAGAUCUUUCUUUCCUCGCAAUAGGCAGAUUAUGGUAGAAAUCUAGAUAUUUAGCAGAAACUCCCUGACUCUUAAAAACAGACUGAUGUACAGAGAAAAUGAUUGCAUUCUGUGCAGCUACAGGAUUAGUGAUUGUGAGUCAAGAGUUGACAUUUAUUUUAUUUUUCACAUUCCAUGGGCGGAAUUAGUACCAUAUGGCAACAAACCAUUGGGAGGUUAAAAAUCACAGGGUAAAUUUCUGCCUUUAUAAUAUAAAGUAGAUCCAAAAAAUGCUUUUGGCUUCUCUUUGUUUUUUUUUUUAUCACCCCUUCCUUUUUUUUUCUUUUCUUUCCUGGACAAGUUCACAAUUCAGUAUUUAUCUCCUAGACACCAUUGAAUGAUAAAUUGGUGAUGAUAAAUAUUAUAUGUACAUGUAAGAUACAUGCUUGGGUUUACUGGUAGAAAGAGAAGGUCCCUCAUGGAAAAUACUUCUUUAUAAGAGGUCUCCAUGUCUUUUUCUCAUACUCCCAAAACUUCAGCUUUCUCUGGAUUUUAUUGUUUUUUUUCCCAUCAUUUGAUUAAAAAGUAAUAUUUCUAUUUAUUGGUGCCCCAGAUAUCUUCCCUAACACAAAGUGCUGUAAGUUACAUUGUUGGAGCUUUAUUCCUUUAGCUGAAGGCUAAAUGCUUAUUAAAUCCCCAUGAGAAGGGAUUAGCAUGAGAAGGGAUUACACCAUACUGAUAUUUAAGGAUCUGAUAUGGUAAAAGAAAUGGAUCACUCCAACUUACCAGGGAGGCCACUGCAGAAGUAGAAAAAUCUUAGUUAAAAAGUGGCAAAACAAGAAAAUUGCAGCCGUUAACAGAUCAGUGGCAACCUGUGUGGUCUGGCUAAGCUCAGCUGCAGAUGGUUCCAGGAAAGGUGAUUCUUCUUAUUUCCAUAGUGUGACUAUUUGUAGGCCACCAAUCUAUAGGAGCUGCAUUCGAGUCCUGGAGAGGUCUUUCAGGAAGCACCCAGAGGCAAGGCUUUUUCUUGCUGGCCCAAAGUGACUCAGUGGGCAGUCAUGGGCAUUCCAGAAAAGUCAGAAAGCAAUUCUUUGUUUGAAUGGAUUUAUUUUUGUGGAAGCAACAAGGAAUAGAAUGGAAAUUGCAGCAGAAAAAGCAAAAGAAUUAUUGAAUUUGGAGUUGAGCAAAAAUAUUUAUGCUUUAAAAAUGAAACGCUGGUAUAAGACCUCAGGAGCUCUUUGUAAUUUAGUAACUGAAAAUAGUAAGUGAUAAGGAGAAUUCAGGCUAAAACGUUAUCCAACCAGACCAAUCUAAAGUCCUUCCUCUUGCUUAGAGAGGCAGGCUUCCAAGUCAACAACACUAUAAACACAGUUAUACAUGUAUAUUCACACUAUAAACACAGUUAUACAUGGUAUAUUUAGUUAUACAUGUAUAUUCACAAUGAUGCCCAACAUUUAUUGAGCACUUCUGUGUUAGCUUUGCAUCACUGUAACAGAAUACCUAGGACUUAUACCUAAAUCCACUUUUUGUUUAUGUGCACUCAUGGUUUGAGAGAUUUCAGUUCAUAGUUACUUGGCCUGUUGUGGCAUAGUACAUCAUGGGAGCAGCAUGAAGCAGAGGAUAUUUCACCUCUUGGUAGCCAGGAAGCAAAGAGAGAAUCAGGAAGGGGCCACAGGUCCCAAUGUCCCCUUCAUGGACACACCCCUAUAGCCUAACUUCCUUCCAUCCACUAGGUGCCACCUUUUAAAGGUUCUACCAAAUUCCAUGGCACUUGGCUGAGGAUCAAGUGUUCAAUACAUGGGACUUUAGGGGUCACUCCAGAGCCUAACGAUUGCGGUAAGCUGUCUAUUAAGCUUUUCAGUUAAUUUUCAAUAAUAACCUGAUUGUUAUAAUUAUCUUCAUUUUGUCUAUGAGGACAAUGACACUUAGAGUUAAGUAGUUUACCCCAAAUUUCAGAAAUGAGCAAUUGCAUUUGUUUGCUAGUAUUAGUGAGGCACAGACCUGGUGACUUAAACAACAGAAGUUUAUCUCCUCAGGAUACAGAGGCUGGAAGUCCAAGAUCAAGGUGUCAGCUACAUUGGUUUGUUCUGGGGUCUUUCUCCUGAACUUGUAGUUGACCGUCUUCUCCAUGUGUCCUCACAUGGUCUUCCCUCUGUGUAUAUAUGUCCUAAUCUCCUCUUCUUAUAAGGAUACUUAAGGGUGGAAUUAGAGCCCAUCAUAAUAACCUCAUUUUAACUUAAAUAUCAUUUUAAAGACCCAAAUACAGUCACAUUCUGAGGUACAAGAACUAGUAAUUCAAUAUAUGAAUUUUGGGGGACACAGUUCAAUCCAUAAGAACAAUUCUUUUGAAUUUUUCAUAUAUAGAUCAUAUACAUAACAUGAUUAAGGUAUAAUGGUGAACUAUUGUAUUGUCCCAUGAAACAGAAACCACUGUAGGUACUUCAACCUACGAAAUCUAUCACAGGAAAUGUUCCACAGGCAAUGAAAGAACUGAGAAGCCCAACGAGGAGAACCUAGAGAUGAACAAGUGCAGGAAGAUAUUCUAUCCUCUGGGCUGAUGAGAAGAAGGGAGAUAAGUGGUGGUGUCACACCAGGGCAGCCUGGGAUCUGGAGCCAGUGAAUCGAAAAUAAAGGGGAAUCUGAGAGGUAACAACCACUGACCAACACAACUUGCCACGUAGAGGUUAUUUCACCAUGUGGACAGGGUAUUUCUGACUACUAGUUCUGUGGGCCUUUAACAUUACCAGUUAAGUCCCUUUAAGAUCUUUGGAACAGUAAAAUCUCAGUUGUUUAUGCCUGGUUUAAAGCCAGGAUGUGAGUUCUUGGCUUGUUUAGAGCCAAACCUCCCCGACCCCACUUUGCACUGAUGGACUUGGUUUUUUUGUAGCACUGUUUGGAUGUGCUUAGCCCAUGAGAUUGUCCUCUAAAUGAGCCAAUGCUUGUAAGCAGCUUUCAGACUGUAAAAAUAUGACUUACCUGACAACUGCUUGGUUCACUUGCUACCUGUCUUUUGCAUAUUUUCUCCUCUCAUCUGCAGUUCUUUGAGAGAAAUCUGUGUCUCCCAGCAGCAUCGGGACUGAUCAUAGAGUGUUUGUGGAGCCCUUUGUGGGGAGGGGACAGGGAGAAGGGGAGAAUAGGCUUCAUGUGGCUAGAAUCCUCUGCAGCAAUGAGCAGGGGAGAGAGGCACGGGAUGUCAGACAUGUUAACAGAAUCAUUUAGGGCGACUUGUUUUCUGUGCAGAGAUUUUUCAAGACCUGGGCUGUUUUUGCCUACUUAAUGUGCUCUGCAUUUUCUGCAGUCAGACCCCACUGCAUGGUUAAUGACACAAGUUCCAGGAAGCUUGGGGAUUGUGCCAGUAGACACCAGAGACACUAACCUUGUCAAAGCAGAAAAAGACGACAUACUUAUUGUACAGCCAGACACUCAGUUCCUAAGCUCCUAAAGCAACUGGGAUGCAAGAGAUUUGUUGUGGGCACACUAAUCACAGAGCUGCAUUUCUCUGAGGGCAGCAUCUACCAAUCCUCUCCCCUAAACACGCAGAUCAACAGAGGACUAAUUCCAAGUAAUUUAUGAAACAACAGGUAAUAGUGGCAAUUAUCUAGGGGGGUGGCAAGCGAGUAGCUGUGUGCAUGGGCCCGCACCCAGUUGCAUCUCAUGUGGAUGCUCCUAAGCAUUAACAGGUGUAUCAGAGGAAUAGCUGAUGAAACCCCUUCAGAGAAUGUUAAUUAGUAACUACAAUUCAUCUGUCAGGAUGCUGCUACACCCAUGGAGCCAUAUUACACUCAUAGGACUGAUAUUUGUAAGCUAAAACAUACGAUUUAAAAUAGAUGACCCAUUCCUCAUUGUUCAGCUCUUUGCUUAUGGGUAGCCACUGCCGCAGUCUGGCUGGGCACAAAUCACGAGCCACUCAAGCAGGAACAAACUUUAUUUUUGAAACUGCCGCCAAUGCCCCUUACGCUCCAGGCCAGAUUGCCGACCCACGAGGCGUUCUCCCAGACCCCAACAGGAAGUCCCUCCUCUGGAAUUCCCUCCUACCGCACUUCCCCAACCAAUGGGAACUCUCCAGGAGUCCGUAGCAGGCCGAGGUGGACAGCAGGAGUCCAAUAUCCAUAUGAAUGUAGAUCUUAACAUAAUCAUAUCAUCUCAAUGGCUUGUUGGAGUCACCUUUCAACCAAAAAUGCCAUGCAUCAUAUUACUUGGCUGUGGCUCUUAGCAAGCCACGACUGCCUGGGAGCUCAGUCUAUACUGAGGAGGUUCCCUGUUAACUCUUCUGUUAUCACUGACUACCUUUCAUCAGGAGCUGAAUCUGUGGUUGUCACUGUUUUCUCUCCAGCACUCAGUGCAGUGCCUGGCACAUGGUGGGACAAGUUCAUCCCUAGGGAUCAUCUUUGAAUUUGCACAUAAAGUGUUGGAAACAUUUUUGCCAUCAGUUUCAAUGAAUGUGGUUGUUGAAGUUAUUUUUUCUGUCUUAACAACUAAAAUCAUAAUAUGAAUGAUGAGCUUUACCCAAUCUGUUCUCAAAUUUUGUCUCAGACUUUUUUACAACAGGAAUUUGGGUAAGAGGGUUUAAGAUUGGACUGUGCCAAAGCUCUGUGGUGGUCAUACCAUCUUGUUCCUCAAUUUAGGACACCUGCAAGUGGUUGGUAUUUAGGAUGGUCUUCAAUGUGGUUGCUCAUAGGAUUCAUCAUAGAACUUUAAAAACUCUGAUGCUUUGGUCCCAGGACAUGCAGCUUGGGUAUUGGAAAUUUUUCAUCUUCCCCAAGUGAUUUUAAUGUGUAGCCAAGGUUGAGAACAAAAUUAGACUCUUCUUUUAUACAGAUACAGAUACUAAAUGUUACUGGUGAGUCUCAAGUGACCAGAUAUUAAAUUAUUUCCAUCUCUUAAAUUGCCAACAAAGGAAGACAUGGCCCAUCUCUCAUGAAAAUCAGUGUCAUUUUCUUAUAAACACCACACCGCUGAUUGGUGACAUGCCUCCCUUUCCUCUUUGUAGAGAUACUUCCCACUUUAUGUUUUGGGGUUCUCUUAUCCCCUGUCUCUUGUCCUAACUCUCCAUGAGCUUUAGAAUGGAAUGUAAUCUUCUACUCAUCCCCCUUCCUUGUGGGCUCCCAAUAGCAUUUGGAUUUAAGGAGAGUCCUACUAAUCAGUGUGAGAAAAUGUUAAUAAGGUAAUACAAUUGUAGGGAGGCUACCAAGGUUCCAGAAACUUCUAGUGAUCUUGUUAGUGAUAGUCUCUGUUCUAUAGCUCAUGUCCCUCCUCUCUGAGCUGGUGACCCUGACUUUGAAUUUUUUUCCUCUUAUGUGAAGGACAUGACAAUUUUCAGCCACUAAAAUUUGCUCUUUUCUGCCUGCUAAGGCAUCAGGCAGAGUAACAGGUGGAUCCUGGUUCUAAGUGAGUCAUUUGAUCUGUAAUCCUCCUGCUUAGGGAAUGGAUACUUACUUCACCACCUUUCCUUGUGUAAGUCUGGACACCAAAUCACUUUUAAAACAUUGCCUCUAUGAAAAAAAAUAUUUCAAAUUUAAACAAUUUAAAUGCAAAUAAGCUUUGUGGAACUUAAUCUUUUUGUAGGUUGGAGACAGGUGAUACAGUACAGUAAAUAUUAUUCAAAGAAAGGAACUCAUAACAUGAAUUAAUCCAGCAUCUUAUCCUUAAGCAAUAAAUAAUAUUCCCAAUAAACCCAAGGUGCUGGAAAGUAUGAGAAGGUCUACUAUAAGCAUAAUUGGUGAUGUUACUGAGUUCUAACACAAGCUACUACUUAGAAUCUUAAUAAGCCUCAUCCUCAGAAUUUGCAUGAGUUUAAAAUAACAACAAUUCCCCCAAACAGAACCCUUCCUAUGAGUCAGAUACAUACUAAUAUAAUUUAGUCCUCGUGACAACUGCAUGAACUAGACUAUUAUUGCUCACACUUUCCAGAUGGGCAAACUGAAACUCAUGGAGACAUUAAAUAACUUUCUGACAGUAUGACAUCAAGCUCCCAAAUGUCUAAACUAUGGUCUUUAUUGGACAAUGUGACCUCUGAGCCAACACAAAAGGCCAUUACAGUCAUAUGUUACAACUAAAGAUGGAAAAAUGGGACAAUGGCUUGGCCAUGGAAAUUCCUUAUGACAACACUAUCAGAGGGGGCUAUAGUGUGUGUGUGUGUGUGUGUGUGUGUGUGUGAGAGAGAGAGAGAGAGAGAGAGAGAGAGAGAGAGAGAGAGAGAGAGAGAGAGAUGGGGGUGAGGGAGAGAGAGAUGAGUAGUUGGACAUGUGGCACAUUUAAAUUUCAAUGUCCUGAAGGACUGGACUUUGAAAGCCGUGCUUGUCUGAUUUCCCCAUCACUAGUCUUGCUUGGAGCCUGAGGGCCAUGUUAGAGGAGCCCCUAGAGUCUAGACCUUCUCAGAAUCUUGAAAACAACUGACUUUUUUCAAUUUCCAUCUGUAACUUGCCCUUUAUGAAUUUCCAAAGUCAACUUUAAAACCUAGUUUCCACUCAGAAAAGAACACCCCUCUUUUAGAAAAUGAAUGAUCAGAUGAUCAGCCUUUAGCAUGAAUAAUAAUUAUAUUUUGAAAGUAUUGGCAAUUUUACCCCAAAUGAAUUGCAAAUAACUAUUUCUCCUGAGUAAUGAAUCCCAGUUCUUAAUUUUGGGACAGUAGUUUUUAUUAUUUGUGAACGUUAGCUAUACCUUUUCAAAGAACAGUUUAUAUACUUCCAUAGCCUCAGGAUAAUAUAGUAAUCAGUGGCCCAUUAAAAUAAGUGCCAUAAACUAAAAUAGUUUUUCUGGAGAUUAAGGAAAGAUGGUAAGUGAGAUGCUCCACAGUAUGAAUAAAAUAAAUUAGGGGCCAAUGAGCCACGGAUUCAAAUUUCUACACAUUAAAAAUUAUAGGGCUGAGGAUGUAGCUCAGGGGUAGAGUGAUUGCCUAGCAUGCACAGGGCCCUGGGUUCAAUCCCAGGCACUGAAAAAAAAUGUAGCUUUACAAUUUUAAUCCACAAUUCUAUAAUCCCAAAUCUUUGGAAACCAUAAACAUUUUCAUAACUUUUGGUGGCAAACUUGACCUGCAUCCAUAGGAUGUUAUUUGUAGUCCUUGAAAACUUUACACAUGAAUAGUAUCCUUAUAUUUUGCUGCGGAAAUUGCAAUGUGUUUGAUUCUUGGGCAGUGCUGAGGUCCUGCUGUAUAUGCCACAUAAAAUUUGGUAUGUAUGGAGUAUUUUUUCUGGAGUGGGGUACUGGGGACUGAACUUAGGGGCACUCCACCACUGAGCCACAUCCCCAUCCCUAUUUUGUAUUUUAUUUAGAGACAGUGUCUCACUGAGUUGCUUAGUGCCUCACUUUUGCUGAAGCUGGCUUUCACCUUGCAAUCUUCCUGCCUCAGCUUCCUGAGCUACUGGAAUUAUAGGCAUGUUCCACUGCACCCAUAUGGAGUACUAACUUUUUUAAAAAUGAAAAAAAAAAUUCUAAAUUCUAAAAUCCGAAAUCAGGCUCUAAGGAUUUUAAACAAAAAAUUUCAGGCUUUUAAAAAAAGCAUUAGAUUAACAUCUUCAGCAAAACAUGUCACUCAACCUAUUUUAAAAAGUCAUUCAUUGAUUCAUUUAAACAAGAGUUUACUAGGUAUUAAGGUGGUGGAUAUAAUCAUGAUUAAAACUAGAAAGAAUCUAAUAGGAAAAAAAGAACAUUAAAUUGUUACCCGAAUUAAUAUAUAUAUAUAUAUAUAUAUAUAUAUAUAUAUAUAUAUAUAUAUAUAUAUAUAGACAAAUUAAGUAAAGUACUCUAAAGGUUUUUUUUUUAUAUCAACCCAGAGUACAAAAUACAGAUUUUAAGGUGCACAACAGUGUUCUGAUUCUACUGGUAGCAAAUUACCAUGGUGCUACAGCUAGGAGAUUUUUCUAGUGCUUCCACAAAGCUGCAUAUAAAACUGGGACACAUGGCAAUUUAGAACAUGUGAGUGUAAGGUAGUUAAUGAAAAAGUCAUUUGCUUGAAAGAAAAAGGACACUUAGGCUAAAGAAAAUCAAUGGAAUUCUCCCUGGCAUGGUUCGAAUUUGGUGUGUAUGUUUAUUUAAAUAUCUAAAUGGGUGGGGGGAAAGGGGGGUGAAUAAGUUUUUUUAACCCCCAAAACAGUCUUAUAAAAUAGGUAUCAUUAUAAUUAUUAUUGCCAUUUUACAGAUAGUUGAGGCAUGGAGAGGUCAAUGAUCUGCCCCAAUUGCACUGAACACUACACUGCUCCUGAAUGUAACUAUGCUUAAAAAAUGUGGGCCUUAGUCAAUGGGGACUGGAAUCGGGGAGACAGUGUAGCAUAGCAGAAAGAACUCUGGGUUUGUAGGUGAAAGAACUGGGUUCAAAAUCUCAUCUUAUAGUUAUGUGAUUUUCAGCUUUCCCUGUAUAAUAUAGACAAUAAUUACUACUUCUCAGGGUAGCUGUUAAGGCUGAAUGGACUUCCAACAGAUUGACAAAAUUAUAAAUCUGAAAAUAAUAAGAGUUGAUAUGAAUGUAGACUAAUGGUAAUGCUCCUCCUGCAAUUUUGGUGGGAGUAUAAAUUGGUACAACCUUGGAGAAUAGCUUGAAAUCAUCUUAUUAAACAGAAUACGUAUUUACCCUAAAGAAAUUUGUGCAUACAUACACCAGUAUGUAUAUACAAGAAUGUUCUUUACAGCAUAUUUUUUAAUAAUCCCAAAUUGGAAACAAAACAAAUGGAUUCCUCAAUUGUGGGAUAUUCACACCAUGGAAUAAAAUAAAAUAGUGAAAGCGAAUGAAUUUUAGUCAUGCACAACAAUAUGAUUAAAUUUUAAAUCCAUUGUUGAGUGAAAAAAAGAAGUCUCCGGAGAAUACAAACAGUAUGACACGGUUUUUGCCAAGGAAUAAAACAAGCAAAUUAUAAAAUAUCAUGUUUAAAAAUAGAGCCAUGAGAGGCUAAAUUAAGAACACAAAAUUCAGAAUGUGGUUACUUUUGUGUGGGGCCAGGUAUAGAUUGUGUGCAUGUGAUUGUGUGUGUAGGUGGGAAUAUUUAUUAAUGGUCUAGUUCUUAUAUAGUUCAUAUCUAGUUCUUAUGGGUCACACAUGUCACAUUUUAAAAAAUUAACGUUACAUAUAAUCUUAAUGUAAGCAUCAAAUGUUACAUAGUACUCAUUCAAGUACCCUAUUUAAUGCAAAUAAAUUUCCUUGCUCAUUCUCUCUCUACCUUUUGGUCUAGAAGUAGACAUGUACAGAAAAUGCUCAGGAAAGUUUAUCAAAUAAAUCAAUAGUUGGUUAAAAAGGAAAAAAGAUGACACAACAUUCAUGCAGUACUUCACAUGAAAAAUGCCAUAUGAAUAAUAGGUGUUAUUAUUAAAAGAGAAAAUUUUCCUUAAAGUUAUUUGGUUCUCACUCCCUCAAGACUAAAUGGCCAUAAUGGUGGGGUUGUGAGGGGAAAUGCCUGUCGACACUCUGCAUUGCAGAUGCAUGGUGCCUCUGGUGUCAAACCGCUAGUUUCUGACAGAACACCGAAGUAAGAGUUAUUUGCAACGUGUUUCUUCUUUAGGUUUUAAGGGCAGUUGUUUUCUUUGGUAGUUGUGGGUGCUCACAAUACAAGGAAUACUUGUCAGUCUGAAAAUACUAAAAAUGACGAGGAAAAAAGAAACAGGCACUCUUCUUCAAAAACACUUUUCUAAACUCCUUUGGGGGAAAACCUGAGGUGGCUGUUAACACUAUCAACAUUUUUAGAGACAAGAAGGGAAAGUAUAAGUGGGUAGUGUGCAAGGGUAAAUGACAUGUGUUUCCGGUCUCUGGUGUGUGCCUCAACUUUGCCUUUCACCUACUACAGUGCUGGAGGGUUGCCCUGGAUAUUUUCAUUAAUGGCCCGCUCUCCCAAAUGUUAUUAUUUCAUGUUCUUUCCUCAGAUUUCAAAUGCUUUUUCAAUUUGACCUCUUUAUCUUUGAUGGUCUCUUUUCUGGGUGUACCUAACCCCAUUUCUUUCUUUAUCAAGAAUAAAAAAAGAACCAAUUAGAAAUUCUUCAUGUAAUUAUCCAAUAACAAUUAGGGCUUAUUGUGUCGCUGCCUUGUAUAACUCUACUGUAUUUUCCUUCCUCAAAACAGAGGCAGCUCCAAAGCGCAGUUAUGAGUCUGUUUACACCACCCAGAUAUCAAAUUGACUUGCUAAUGGUAACUCUUACUUGGUAUCCAUGGGUUACUGUGUCAUGUGAUUUGACAUCAAGUACAGACAGUGCUGAUUAGGAGCAUCCAGCUCUGUCCAACUCCGUGCAUCACUGAACCAUCUGGUCAUUUAUUCACUAAUAAGCCCCUAAUGGCCCAAAUAUUCACCGGCCUGUCAUUGUGACAUGGCAUAAAAUGCCUACAUCUUUCAACUCGCUUUGACAUGUUGCUUGUUUCACAUCAAAACCCGUCAUUUACAGGAAAAGAGCUCAGAGGGGUAAAAACUUGACCUAAUCUACAGUGUUAACACAAAGACAGAGGCUUGGUUAUCUAGUAGCCUGACUGAAAGCAUGUAAAUGGGCAGGAAUUCAUUUUGUACUUUUUUUUUCCAUUCUCAUUUUACAACAUUCUUUAAGUUUGGUAUCAUCCCUAAUAUGGGAUUUUAUGUGGGCUCUGCGUUGAAAUAUCUAUCCUGUAUCUGUUUAAAUAGUAAAGAGGGCUUUAAAAGGAAAAAGCUUCCUGGAGUCUUGGUGCUUGCCUGUUUACAUUGAAAUGUGUGUGUGUGUGUGUUGGGUUGGGGGUUUGCAAUGUGGAUCUCAAGAGCAGCUCUCUGCAGUUCUCGGAGGACUCUUUAUGGUUUGUUAUUUUAACCGUCUCUUAUUCUCUAUUCUUCUUUCCAGCCAAAUGUGCUUUUUCUUCCCCAUUAUAUCUGUUUAUUAUAAAAAUUUGAGCUUAUUCAUGUUUGGGGCAUUUGACAUGAUCACCAGAGCAGUAAUGAAAAGCUGGAAACUGCUUUCAGUUACAACCAUUAGGAAAAAGAGGCUAAAACUCUUCAAGUAGUUACCCUGGCAUGAACAGAAUUAAAACACUAAAAAAUUAGAAAGUAAUAAGGGGGAAAAAAGUAGCUUUCUAUGACAUUCAGCACUGUGGAAAUCUUGGCCCUUAAGUAGAAUUAAAAUAUGAUAUUACUGAGGGUCACUAACUGGUUUUAGAUGUUUCACAUUUUACAGAUAUUACUAAAAUGAAUGUUUCGAAAUAAUUCUUACUACUCCAUUUAUCUCUUUUUGUCUUCUUUUUCUUUUUAAUAUAAAAGUUUCUGAAAAUUGAGUGCUGGCAUACUUUAGGUUGAAAGCAUCAUUUUUCUAUUGUCUUCCCUCUACAGUUCACCAAGACCCAGUUCCCCCCUUCCCUGUCCCCAUCAAUAGGCUGAGAACAUGUGCACCCUUCAGAGGAUUUCUUCCACCCAUACUCAGAGACCGUGAGAACUGAACAAAGAGGUACUGGUGGCAUGGAGGGCAGAUCUAAGGUUUUAUAAUUUGGCAUAAAAGAUGGCAGAGGCAUGCUGGUAUACUUUCAGCUGGUUGCUUCCUUUGUGGGAGGCCCCCGGUGCAGAUCAGGUGUUCUGGUGAAGCCCCUUUGUAUGUGGGCUCACAUACCUGGCCAGGUGAGCUCACCUAGAGCUAAGCGCAAACUGCACCCUUUGGCUCCUUUUGCUUCCAAUCAGAUAAAGCUAGAACUGGAUCUGAGAGUAAAUGGAGGUAAAGUUCACCACUGUAUCUUCCCUAGUACUUUCCCCACUCCAGUUUCCUGAUUUAUUGGUGUUCAACCUUUUCAAAAAGAGCAGCCCUUUGCUUCAAUGUUGACUUAAAAAGAACCUCAGCAGUAAUUUUACAAAUUUUAAUUUUUUUCCCUAUAUUUCAAAUGAAUUCCAUGUUGGUCAUUAAUGACCUCAUCUUCUUGUGACCACUCAUUUGUUAUUUCAGAUGCGUGAAAGCUUCAGUAAAAUACUACUUGGUCUUUAUCAUUCCACAGGACUGUAUCAAAUCCUUGCCUCCUCUCUAGGCCGUGAAACUAAACCACACAAGCUGAAGAAAAACUAGGGAGCCCCUUGUUUCUUUGGGAUCUGAUAUUCUUGAUUUCUAGAAUGCUCCUCAUUUAAAAUAUUCCUUCUUGUCAAACCUUCCAUCAGUCUCAAAUCAACAUAACCACAUACCCUAACGCUUUGUUGAGAGAAUUCACAUUUAUUUACUCACACACUAGGUUGAUAAAAAUAAUAAAUUGAGCAUCCAAUAAUGUUCUAGACAUCAGGGAUAUAAAGAUGAUUAAGACAUUGCUCUAGGCCUUAAGGAGCUACAAGGGUUCAUGGGAUUUGGGGGGAGAAGGAUAGAAAUCAACAAGUGAGUAUAUUGACAAAGAGAACGUUGGGAAUUAUACAGGUGUUACUGUUUGGAUAUCAGGUGUUCCCCUCAAGCUCCUGUGUUAAUGCAAGAAUAUUCAGAGGUGCAGUGAUUAGAUUACGAGAACAGUGACCUAAUCAGUCCAUCUAGUUUGAAUGGACUGACUGGGUGGUAACUGUAGGCAGGUGGGGUGUGACUGGAGAAGGUGGGUACCGGGGGCAUGCCCUAGAAGGGUGGAUCUUCCCUGUGGCCCCUUCCCCCCUCUCUCUCUGCUUCCUGGCUGUAAUGAGCGGGGCAGUUUUCUUCCACCAGGAUGAUCCACCUCACAUCAGGCCCAGAGGAACAGAACCAGCUGAUCAUGGACUAAACCUCUCACACUGUGAGCCAAAAUAAAGCUUUCCUCCUCUAUGUUGAUCUGGUCAGGUAUUUUGGUCACAGCAAUAGAAAACUGACUAACACAGAAGGCAUGGUCAUACAAAGUUGAAGAUAAUAUAGAAAUCCAGGGGAGUGGGUGGGACACCUGUGUAUUCUUGUACUUUGAUCUUACAAACAAAGACCCAUGUAUCCUACUCUGCCAUUUCCUUACUUCCUCUCCUUGCUCAUACCUUGUGCUCUCAGUACUAAUAGGAGAAAGAGCCUCCAAGGUAUCAAAGCAUGGAACAGAAGGAGAAAGAAAGAGAGAGGAGACAGAAGGAGGAGUAAGAGGAGAAGGAGGAACUCAGAGGAGGAGGAGAGAAGAGGGAGAAGAAGGCAAGAAAGUUGAAGAAGAGCAAAGAGAAAGGGAGGGAGAGAGACUCUUGGAGGAUCCCCAGCUCUCCAUUCUCCAAAGCCUCUAAAUCAAAUGUCUGAAAAAUCCCUUGUUUAUGCAAUGACCAGAGACUUUUCUCACCACAGGCUUGUUGCCCACUGUGCCCACCAGGAGAGGAAGAAGGCCUGACAUAAGAAACCAUCCACUUCCUCCUCUGCCUCAGGAUAUGCACAUUUUACCAUCCUUCAAUCUUUUCUGAUAUCUAUGAUUAUAUGAUUAUCUUCAUUUUUUUUAAGGUUUCUAGUUUUCUCCCCUCUGCAUUUCCCUUCACACUUGUCUGAGUUGGGAAGGGCCUGGUGGGAUGGGCACCCCUGGCUGUGACUUUGUCUUUGUCUCUGUCUGCCAGUCAGGGGCAAAAACUAGGGAACCAUUCAUUUCUGUGGUUCCAGGAUUAUGAAGAGAUUGUUAGGGUUACAAAGAUAAGAAUUAGAAUGCACUCGUUGCUAUUCCUGAUAGGCAGAAUGAUGCAGCACUGGAAGUAAGGAGCCAAUAUUGUUCUGUCAUAUCUAAAGGUCUGACUGUGAGAGGUUGAUCACUGCUUCUCACAUGGCUCUUGGAGAAGGCAAUAUAACACAAUUAUGACAUGUGUAUUUCAUUUCAGAAACCUUACAUAAACAGAUAAAUUGAAAUCAUUUGUGCAUGUAAUAAACUACUUAGAUAAAUAAAAAAUCUAAUUAUUUCUUCUUUUUUAACUGCAGUAAGUAUAUACAACAUACAAAUUUUAACCAUUUUUAAGCAUAAAAUUCAGUGACAUUAAUGACAUUCACCCUGUUGUCCAAUCAUUACCACAUUUCUAAAACUUUUAUCAUCCCAAACAGAAACCCUGUACCCAUUGAGUAAUAACUUCUCUUUCUUUUCUCCUAGCUUCUGGAAACUUCUAAUCUCCAUUAUGUCUCUAUGAAUCUGCCUAUUCUAGGUAUUUCAUAUAUGGGGAAUCCUAUCAUUUUGGUCCUUUUAUGUCUGUCUUAUAUCACUCAAUAUGUUUGCAAGAUUCAACCAUAUACCAGAUAUCAGAACUUCAUUCCUUUUUUUGGCGAAAUAAUAUUUCAUUGUGUGUGUAUAUCACAUUUUGUUUAUUCACUCUUUUGCUGAUGGAAACUUGUGUUGCUUCCACGCAAUUUAUUUCAGUUUGGUGGGAAUAUAUUAAGUCAUACUAGUAAAAACUGAAAAAAAAUAGUCAUUACCUAAGCAAAGAGGGAACACAGUAUGAUAAUAAAGAGCUCAAGUUCAAGUGCUAGACCUAGGUUCAGAUCCCAACUCCACCUUUUGCUAGUAAUCCCCAUCUUUCCUACCAAACACGAAGUCUUAUACUUAACUUGGGAAAGUCCACUUUAACUCCCUGAAUCUUAACUUCUUCCUUUGUGUGAAUACAAUACCCAUUUCAUUGGGUUCCUGUUGGAAUUCAACAUCAUAAUGUAAAGCCAUUUGUAUUAUCAAAUGAAAUCUGAAAGGAAACAACUUUCACAACAUGAAACUCGGAGAAGGUAGUCACAGAACAACAAUAAAGGGGGUCCUUCAUGUUAAAAGUUUGGGUCCCACUAACACUUGAUGGUCUGCAAGAUAUUUUUAAGCUCUAAAAUUCUGUGGUUUCAGCUUACUUUCAGGGAUCUAGAAGAGUAAAAUAAAAAUGCCUAGAAAUUAGAGAGAUAUUUUCUGUUACAUCAACAUCUCUGAAGCUACCUGUGAGUUAGAGGCAGUGGACAAGCAUAUAUCGACUUUAGAGUAACAUCAAUAAAAUAAAUCUGUGAUUGUGCCCAUUUAUUUGUGUGGUGUUUCCCAAUCACUGUAGAUUAAAUUAAGAGUUUUGAGAGUGUCACAGACUCAGAUUCAGAAAUCAAGUCUGUGCUGCUUUUAAAAAUGACUUAUCAUUUUAAAGCAGAUAAGAAGAUGGACCUUCUUUGCUUGCUUCCUCCCAGCCCUGAUCACGUACUUCCCACCUCCACCUCUGUUGACAGGAUACAGAGACACAGAAUGGAAUCAGUAAGCAGAGAAAGCCACUCACCUACACUGACUGUUAAAUAAAUGAGAAAUAAAUUUCCAUUGUGUAAAGCCAUUGAAAUUCUAGGUUUUCUUUUAGACCAUUAGCAUUACCCUAACUACACAUUAAUAGUGAUAAGGACUGAUUCAAAUGUCAGAGAAUCACUGACAGUUGUGAGCAAAUUACUUUCUCUUUUUAGAAACGUUUGGUUAACCUUCUUUGACAUUAAACGUUCCAUUCAUUUAAUCCUGUGCCAAUUAUUGAAAGUUAGCUCAAAGUCUCUGUUCUAGAGGAACUCACAAUCUCACUUGGGUGAAAAAAAUAUAUAAAAAAGUUAAAGAAUGAUGAAAUGCAAAAUAUAAAGAACAUCAAGAGAGUAGAAAAUAAUUCCUACAGCAAUUCAAGGAAGGAUUGGGUUUACUGGAAAAAGAUUUGUGAAGAAUGAUAGGACUAUAUGAAUACCUUAAAAAUAGGGUAGGAUUUGGAAAGACAUGACAGUAAGGAUAUUCAAACUGGGGUAAAUGGUGAAAAAAUGCAUAAAGUGGGAAUAAACAAAAAUAUAUUUAGAAUGCUGUAGGACUUUGGGAUUGUGAUAGUUAAGAGAAUGAAAUUUGAAAAUUGUCUAAUAUCCAUUUAAAAGUAUUUAAUGAUCACAUGGGUCUGGCAUUGACCUAAAUACUAGAAAGUAAAAGCAGUACUUCCUUCAAAGAAUUUAUAGUCAACUGAUACAGAAAGGCCUAGAUUCAACUUGUAUCUGCACAUGGGCAAGCCGCUUAACUUUUAUAUAUGUUGCCUUCCCCAUCUGCAUGAUGAGAUAAUAAUGCUAUGAGGUUAAUGUGAGGAUUACAUGAGAUGAUGGAUUUGAAGCAUUUGACACAGAGUCUUGCACAUAGUGAACUCUCAAUGAAUGUAGUUCGAUGUGACAGAAAUGGUGUUGAUGGCAGUAGUAGUAAUAGUAGCAGACCAUUGGGCAAGAGCAGAGAGACUCUGUUGACAAUUAUGGGGGCUGAAGUUGGAAAUGGAGUCUUGACUAGGUUAAUGGAGUCUCUUCAAUGCCAAGCCAAAAAAUUAGCAUUCUAUCCUUAGGCAAAGGACAACCUUUGGAGGCUUUUUAAAUAGGUAAGUAAUAUGGCAACACUGAACAGAAUGGAUUGGGAUUAGGGGAAUGAAAAAGGAACAAAGGCAGAUAUCACUGUAACUGAGAUUGCAAUAGACAAGAAUAGUGAAAAUACAAUGUUCAAGGAUAACACUAAGUUUUUUCAAGUCUGGUUACCUCAAAGGACAUUAACAUGUAUAAUAGGAUGGGAGAAAAACAAGAUUUAUUUUAGAAAUAGUUGAUAUUGUGUGUCUGUGGAAAGUAGAGAAGGAGUCUACAUUAUGUUAUCCUUCUUCCUGUCACCUUCAGGAGCUCUAUUCCAGUUUGGUGAAAUGGAGGACAGUCCAGUGGAAGUCAGCUGUGAGCCUCUGCUUAGAGAUGCCACUUGCAGAGACUCCUUGAGUUCUUACCCUGAUGAGAAAAAACAAGUACAAAUAAAGAAAACCCUAAUUAGGGAUGGAGCAGUGUGAUCUAGCCAGCCCCGCCUUCUGUGGAGCUCUUCUGGGGAAAGAUUUGAGAGGGGUUCUGCAGGCCAUAAAGGAUAAGUUUUUUUUUUAAAAGAUGGAUUUAGGUUAUGAUAAAAUGGAUUAUAUUGAGUUUGUAAACUUGAGAAUUUCUAAUUAAAAGUAAUUUCUGUUUUUAUUGGUUCUUUUUUGUUAUACAUAACAUCGGUUUUUAUUUUUACACAAUCAUAAAAGCAUGAAAUAUAAUUUGCUCUAAUGCAGUCCCCAGUACUUCCUCUUUCCUUUCCCUCUUCCCCCUCCCUCUUCCCUUCCCUUUACUCUACUGAUCUUUCUGCUAUUUACUUAGAUUUUUUUUUAAAUUACUGUCUUGUGGAUAUACAUGAUGGUGAGAUUCACUGUGGUAUGCUCAUAUGUGUACAAAGGAAAGUUCAGCCAGAUUCAUCUUGCUCUUCCCUUAUCCCAUUCCAUCUCCCCCACUCAAUGCCCUUCAUCUACUCCACUGAUUUUUCUUCUUGAGAAUUUCCCCCUACAUUUUUAUUGGUGCAUUACAGUUGUAUAUAUUGAUGGGACAUACUGUUGUUACAUAUUCAUACAUACAUACUAUAUAACAAUAAUAACAAUAUAAUUUGACUCAAUAUCCCUCCCCAGCCCUUCCCCGUCCCUCCCCUUCUCUUGAGAAUUUCUUAAUGCACACUUAUUGUUGCUGACAUCCUUGUGGGUUUGGUCAUGGAAAAUAAGCUUUAUAUGAUGUACAUAAGAAUCUACACUGCCUAACCAGUAUCAUCUGAGAGUCACUGCUUCAUAAAAGGGGAUCCUUAAGCAGGAAAUGAUAAGUUUUAGUGAGUUAGUUUGGCUUGGGAGCAGCUGUGGGAACUUGUUAUCUGUUCUACCCCUUGCUGUGACAUGGCAUCAAGCUUAUCAAAACGAACUAGCUUAGGACAGUGGUUCUCAAAUUUUAGACUGCUCCAGAAUCACCUAGAGGGCUUGUUAAGACACAGGUUGCUGGGCCCCAGCCACCAGGAUUUCUAACUCAGUAGGUGUGGAGUGAGGCUCAAGAAUUUGUGUUUCUAACAAGUUCCUAGGUACUACUGCUGGUCCUGAGAUCACAUUUUGAGAACCACUGACUUAGGCAGAAGGAGGAGACAAUAUCUAUGCCUGCAAAGAAGUCAGGGAGAACGAAGACUAAGAAAGACUCACUCAUUGGCUUUAGUCAUUGCCUUUUGGAAUAUUUUGAUGUGGAAUUUACUAGAGGUUUGAAAAUUACAAAGGGCUUCAAAUAUGUAGCUGGUGAAGAAAUGGAAGCAACACAUAUAUAGCUUUGUUCAACAAGUCAGUUUCACUUGAGUAACAUAACCCUAGUGGAAAAUAAAAUGUAUUAUCCUUUUGAACAAAACUUGAAUAUGCCAUUCAUGUGUUCCUUCAACCUAUCUGAAAUCCAAUAUAUACUAGGCACUGUGUUAGACUCUGAGCAAUCAUGGUAGACACUGUUUGAUAUUUUAUUGAACUCAAUGGGGAUUUAGAAUAGAAAAUAAACAAAUUCAUAUCUAAGUAUAGAGAUGCGGUGAUCAUUGAAGAAAUAUUCAAAUAUCAAGAUUUAGGGAAGCUUCCUAUGGUGGCAAUUAAAUUCAACAUUGAAGAUGUAUAGGAUUAUCUAGGUGAAAAUGGGGGGUGUGGUGGGGAGAAUUCUAGAGGAAACAGAAAAUGCAAGCAAUACUUAGAGGCAGAAUAGAGAGUUCCAAGACUAAGGAACCCAAAGAAAGUCAAGAGGGUUAAAAUAUAUGAGUAUAGGGGUACACUGGUUCAUAUCAGGAAUAAGGUUGUAUUAUUAAGAGUAUCAUAGACUAUGUCAAAAAUCUUAGAUUCUAUAUGAAAAGCCAUUGAAGAGUAUGUGUGUUAUAGUUAUAUAAAGAUAUAAUUAACAUACCAUAUGAUUCACCUAUUUAUAACUGCACAGUGUAAUAGUUUUUAGUAUAAUCAGAGUUAUAUAACCACUGAAAUCCCCCACCCAUAAUCCCAUAUCCAUUAAUAAUCUCUAUUACCUCCAACCCCUUCCAAACUUAGGCAGUUGCUAAUCUAUGUUCUAUUUCUAUUAGUGGAAUUGCACAAUAUGUGGUCUUUCAUCAAAGAAUUGUAAGCCAGGGAGUGGUAUCAUUUGAUUUACAUUGUGAAAAGAUCAAUCUGGAUGACAAAUGUAACCUGGAUAGGUGAGUCUAGACAUGCAAAAACCGAUUAGGGUGCUGUAGAAGCAGUCAGGAGAGAAUAUAGUAGUCCGGACUGGGGUGAAUGUCCUGGGUUGGAGAGAGGAGGACGGGUUGGAGAGGUAGUCUUGGAUUGUGGGAAAUACAUAGCUAAUAUAUGAUGGGGAGUGAGCAGAGAGGAUGACUCUCUUAAGUAUCAUCGUGGUAGUGGGUAGAUGGUGGUGCUUGUCACUGAAGUGGGAUUCUCCACAAGGGAUCAGGUCUGUGAUGAGGUGAAGAUGACAAAGUGUCAGUGUUAUGAUGAUCAACCAUUACCUAUAUGUGGCUGGCAUCUGCUGGUCUUAAUCAUAGUGACACCGGUCCUUAGGAAAAAAGGAAGAUUGUAUUAUUUUCCCAGUCUUUCAGAAGAUCCCAGAAAGACCAAAGCAACAUGUAUACAGAUUUCAUACUGAUUCAAUAAAAUUAAAAGUUUAUUUAAAUUUUAAUGGAAGUAUAUUGGUAUCAAAGGGAAAAUUUAACUGAUUUACCUUGAAUAAUUUUACCGUGUCAAUAAUCUGUCACCCUUUCAGGUCAUAGCCAAAGAUCCUUCAGACCACUAGGGGUUUCCUAAGACCAUAGAGUAUACCCCUCUGCCCCUGGUGAGGAAUGCACCUGAAUUAAAUCAAAGAAAUGGGGAUUGAUUACAGAGUCAAUUUUCAAUUACCUGUACUAAUAGAGCAGUGGUAUGGGUAAUCCCAGACUGUGGUUAACCAAAAUCACUUAUAUUUGCUUUUGGACUGCAUUAUUUAAGCUAUUUUUAACAGUCAGGUUUCUAACUACAUUUUUCUUUUGUGAUUACUAGCAUUAAUUUUACCCUUCAACUUCACACUAAUUUUGGCAAAGAGUAGUGGCCCAAAUAUGCUAAGUGCAGGGAUAUAUCAUUUGGGGGUUUUAUAUAUCCUACAUAUCAUGUACAAAUUUGAUAAUUCAAAUUUAUAGAUUUUUUUUAAAGGUCUUCAAGGAUAGAGAUUACAAAUCUCCCUUGAUAACUCAUUUCUUUAAGAACAUUUACCACUGGGAAAUACUCAUUUCAAUCUUUCUGCUGAAAUACAAACAAUUCUUUCCUUCUUUUCUCAAUGGGGAAAAUAAAUAAAUAAACAAGCCCUGUCCUCUGUGUACUUUAACUCUGAUAAUGCUAAAAACUCUUGAGAUUUUUCUUUUUCAAGCAGAACCAGUGCAAUUCUAUUUACCCUUAUUAAUUCUAUUCUACCCUUAUUUCCUGGCCAAUCAUUAGUUCUCCCAGAAAUCAAAGAUCAUACAAAAGCAUGAAAUUUCCUGAGAAAUAAUCUGCAUUUUAUCCAUAAAAAAACAGAGAUUCUACAAUAAAAGACCAAUUAUUUUUUUUUACAUUUUUUCCAAUUAAGAAGGAAUGUGUUCAUUAUAGAAAAUAUUUAAAAAUGCAUAAAGGAAAAUAUUAAAAGCAUCUAUGAUUCCAGAAGUCAGAGGUAACCACUGUAUGCCUGAAUUGUUGAGACUUCAUUGUAGCCCUCAGGUCCUAGAGGAGCUAUGGAGAGCCUUACUCAGGCAGAAACACUACUUGGUAGCUUCAGAGCUAAACCCUCACAUAGAACCCUUAGACCUGAUGAUAUAGAUAGAAUCACAUGGAAACUAAAAGGGCCCCAUCUGUGCCUUUAGUCCCAGGCCUAUAGUGAACUAACUGAAGCAGCCUCUGCCGUCCACUCCCUCUGUGAACACAUUAACCUCUGUCUUUGCACUCAAUGUUCCAGCUGCACUGAAAUCACCUGGAAGUGCCUUAAAAUUUCAGACAACCCAGUCCUACAGAAUCAGAAUCUGUAUUUUACUGAGAUCUCCAGGUGUUAGUAGAUGGUGAUCCACUGAUGCUGUUGCUCAAUUGAGAUGCAUAGGAGAGCUUAUUGACUGGCUGGUGAGAAAAGGAAGCAGCAAAUAAAGAGGAUAAGGAAAAAAUAGCAAAGAGGCAGUCUUUCACAAGGCCUAGCUGAGCCAUUCUAAGUGGUUGUGGCCUGGGCCUUCCUGUGCAGAGCCUUCCCUUGCAGGAGGCAUUUCUAGUCUAGGGGCACAAACGACAUGUCAGAAAAUGGAAAAAUGAAUUGAAGAUUAAAUCAUGGUCCACAGUAAUUGUUUCAAACUCUUUCUUAUAUCAAAGAACAUCCUCCUGGCCCCAUGGCCCCAUAUGUAUCCUCCUGUCUGGAAUUUAGAUUAAUUUUGGGGAGAAAUGGCAUUGGAAUAUGGAGGAAGUCUUGGGCACACUUAGAGAUGAACAAUAGGGAAUAGAUAUUCAAUCUUUUGUUUUUGUGUCUUAUUUAUGCAACUAUAAUCCAGUGGUUCAGUCUAUCAAUAGUUUUGCAAUUAAGAAGCACCAUUCAACAACCCCAUGACUACCUUCCAGCCCUCUCUACCUUUCCUACCUCUCCUCCUUCAUGAAGUAAAUUAAAUUACCUUUUUGUUAAUUGUUUCCCCUCUUUUUUUUCUUUCUUGUACUCCUCCACCCCCACAACAAUAGCAAAUGCACUAAUUUAGAUCUGGCAAAAAAAGGACAUAGGGCUGGGCAUAUAGCUCAGUAGUACAGCACUUGCCUAGCAUGUGUGCAAGGCCCUGGGUUCAAUCCCCAGCAAUCCCAGCAAAGAAGAAGAAGAAGAAGAAGAAGAAGAAGAAGAAGGAAGAGGAGGAGGAGGAGGAGGAGGAGGAGGAGAAGGAAAUAUGAAUCUCUGUAUAAGACUGAAGCAGGAAGGUUGGAAAGAGGAAGGUGGAAAAUUCAUUUUCACACAACAUGCAUAUGCAUGUGGGCACAAAAUAACACUGUUUCUUUUGAACAGAUCUUACAAAAUUGUUUGUAUCCAUCUUUUUCCUUAAUAUUUUGUGAUCAUUUUCCUAGUAAAUAGUCCUAUAAAGCAGGUUGAAUAGCCUCAUGGUAUUCCUUUGUAUGAACACACCACAGAUUAUUCCCCUCUGUUGUACACUUAGAUUGUCUCACUUUUAUUUUGUAAAUAACUCACUUUUAUGUUUGUAAAUAAUGCUGCAAAGAACAUCCUUUUAUGUAAAUCCACAUCUUAUUAUUCUUUCAGGAUAAAUUUUACUUGGCCUUGAUAAUAACAAUAAAAAAAAAACUGAACUUGGAUUGAAAGAUCUGUCCAGUGAUCAAUUUUAUUGUGGCUUUUCUCCAAACAAAAACACAUAGUAGAGUUUGCAGGUCAGACUUUUAAUUAAGCAGGUUCCGUAAGAUGGACUCUUUUGCAAUUACUUCAGCAACAGUGAAUGGUUGUAAAAAUAUCUGUGCUCUACAGUCAUAUAGGACAAAUUCACCCCACAAUGCCUAAGGACUGAGACAUGUUGAGAGAUGGUAAUUGUCACUUAAGAGGUAACUUUCUAUCUUGUGCCACAUUCAUAAACUUUGCUCUUCUAGAAGGCAUAAUGCUCAUUAUUUUAGCCUGGGACAUUGUCCAUAAAUUAGCAAAACAACAAAAAGGCUCUCUGUGUUCUAAAGUCUUCUUUAUUUGGAAGCUUAAAUAAAAGCAGAGUGAUUAAAUUAUUACUGAGUAAUGUUCAUGAGUAUAAAGCCAUUAAUAAUUACAAUAUAACUAUCAUUCAUAGAAAAUAGACUAUGUGCCAGGUACCAUGCUGAAUACUUUAUAGCCUGUAGUAGUUGUGUACUGCUGUGUAACAAAAUACCCACAAAGUUAACAGCUUAAAGUGAUGAACAUUCAUUACCUCACAGUUUCUAUGGGUCAGGAGUCUUGCAUGGGUCAGCUGAAUCCUCAGACUUUGUCUCUCAUAAGGCAAAAUUCAAGGUAUCCACUGUAAGAAUCUUAAGGCCUAGCUGGCAAGAUUCACAUCAAAGCUCACUCAUGUGAUAUUUGCAAGAUUGAGUUUCUCCUGGACGGUUAGACCAAGGACCUUGGUUCCUUGGAGGCUGUUGGCCGGAGGCCUCCCUUGUUUCUGGCCCCCAUGUCUCUCCACAGGGCAGCUCACAACAUGUAAGCCAGCUUUCCUCAUACGAUAAGCAAGAAAGAGUGAACAAGACAGAAGACAGAGUCUUUGUGACAUUCAUCACUUUUGCCAUUUUUUUUAAAUGCACUAGAAGUGAGUCCUUAAUUUAAUCCCAUACUCAAGAUGGGUGCCUGGGUACCAGGAGAUAGGGACCAUUAAGAACUACCUUAGAGUCUUCUCACUAUAGACAGAAUUAAUUAUCCCAUUAAUUCAAACAACACCCUUAGAAGUAGAUAUUGUUAAUUUCCAUUUACAGAGCAGGAAACAGGUGCUUAAAUUAUCAAGUGGAAAAGUUAGGAUUCAAACCUUUUUUUUCUGACUUCAGUGCAUAUACACUACUGUUCUAUGCUUUCAAUGGGAUACUGUAUCUGUAAAGUCCAUAGGGUACUGGGAAUAGUAGAGAUCUGACCCAAUUCUUAGCCUCUGGUUUAUUUUGGCACUACUGACUUAUGUCUCACUUCCUCACAGCUUCAGGUGUAUAAGUGAAAUUGUUUAGCCUACACUAAGAAGGGAUGGUAGGGUCACCUGAAGGUGGCAGGUUAGAGACAGAAGGCCCAGAGCCUGCCUUUUGGGGGGGGGUUCUGGUGAAAGUUAGCCGGCUUCUAAAUCUCCAUCCAGAAUUUUUGUAUGUCUUUCCCAUCUUCAGCUCACAUUGCAUUUUAGCAUCAAAGAUAAUUUGUAAGAUAAAUAUCAUUGGGGGAAAACCCCCAUGGUCAAGGAUUAAACACACACAUACAGUUCUUGACACGUUCUCUAGGAGAUAGCUAUUCAUUUUCCCUAACCAGUGGAGCUAUAAAUCUGUCCUGUGCUCGGCACACUGUAUGUGUUUUGCUUUAUGAAGGCAUAAAUCACCAAGAUACAAUUUGUGUUUGAUUUUUUGGACACUUAAUUUGCUUAAAUGUUCAGCAGUUCAUAGACGUAAAUUGUGCUGGGCACAGCUCCAAGUGGAAUAAGCCAAGAGCAAGAAAGCUAUACAUAUUAGGAUGUAAUUCAGAAGAAAAAUCAUCCUGGCUGGUCAAGUAAGUCCUCUUUAUAAGUUACUUAUAAAUAACUUUCCUCCAUAGACAGUAUAAACACUUAGUAAAUACUUCUAGAGGAGGGAGCUUGGUAGUAAAUUCAGUUUAAAGAAACCUCCCAUGUAAUAAACUCCUGCAUGUGAAAAAGGGUGUAAUGUGCAGGGGGUGUGUCACACAUGUUUGAUAAAGUAAUCACAUUGAUCAUCAUUUAAUAUUGAAAGAAUGCCUCACUGGGAAUCAAGGUGAGAGUUUUCAUUAUGUUGCCGCUAAUUAAAUGUGUGAACUUGAGCAAGUCACACCACUCCCCUGCAGCUCAUUUUUGAAAAUGAAGGGUCAAAUUAAAUGAUCUCUUGAUUAUCUCCCAUUUCUAAAGAGUAAUGUGGUAAACAGUCACUGGACAUCUUUGUAACACCUACCUCAGUGCCAUGGAGAAGACAAAGGGAAACACAAGGGAUCUUGGGGACAAAAUGCAAGGAAGUUUUGAAAAUUAAAAUACCUAUAGAAGAGCUACUGAAUAGCCUGGGCAGAAUAACACAGAGAAAUCCAUGUAAACGUAUGGAAGCUGGUAUUUCCCAAAGCUUGCGAUGUGUGCCUCCGAUAUCAGGACACCUGGAAGUGUCCCUGGGAGCCACCUUAAUGUGCCCAGACAAAGAGCCAGCUGGGAUUGCAGAGUCCCCCCCCCCCAUCCUUCCAUGGAAGAGGCUACAGCUGAACUUCUUUGCUUCACAGGGUAAAGCGAUGGCCCCUUCUCCCUGGUAGAAGUAGGUACCACUUCCCACAUGCGCUGGGCAGCUGUUUUUCCAAGACAACCUGUGAAAAUAAAUAGCUGGCACUCAAAUUCAAAUCACUUUGCCUCCCCACUGAUAGGUUUGUUUUCAUGUCUGCCUUUUAGACUAAAGAGCAAAAAGAGUGGCACUUCUCUCCGCUGUUUGGAGACGGAUUGUGUAUCCACAGCAGCCAGCCCUCCACCCACUCCGCCCCCCCCACACACACAAAAUGAUGGGAGUUAAGGGGGAACAGAGGAUUCCUCUUGUUACCCUUUAGGCUAUGAAUUUCUCUAAUAUACUCUAUUUCUUAACCCAGCAGUUCUCAAACCUUUAUACACAUCAGAGUCAUUUGGAGGACUUAUUAAAACUUAGAUUGCUGAGCUCCUUGCCUUGAGUUUCUGAUUUAGUAUACCUGGAGUGGGCCUGAGAAUUUGCCUUUUUGACAAGUUUCCAUAUGAUGCCAAUGCUUCUGGUCCAAGGCCCAUAUUUUAUUUAUUUUUUAAUCUUUUUUUAAAGAGAGGGGGGGGGAAUUUUUUUUUAAUAUUUAUUUUUUAGUUUUCGGUGGACACAACAUCUUUGUUUGUAUGUGGUGCUGAGGAUCGAACCUGGGCCACACAUAUGCCAGGUGAGCGCGCUACUGCUUGAGCCACAUCCCCAGCCCCAAGGCCCAUAUUUUAAAAACUCAUACUGCAUUACAUUGUUUUUGAAUUCAUCUUGAACCCUAUUGUGAGACAACUGGUGAUAACCAAGAUAAUUAAAGCCAUACAUGGAAGAAGUACUUUUUCCUAGUUAUAUAUAUAUAUAUAUAUAUAUAUAUAUAUAUAUAUAUAUAUAUAUAUAUAAUGUGUUCCAAUUUUAUUUUUUAUUUUUUGGUACAGGGGAUUGAACCCAGGGGUAUUUUACCACUAAGCUAUCCCUAGCCCCUUUUUUUCACUUUUAUAUUUUGAGACAGGGUCUUGCUGAGUUUCCCAGGCUGGCCUUGAAUUUUCAAUCCUCCUGCCUCUGCCUGUUGGGUAGCUGGGAUUGUGAGCAUGUGCCACUAUACCUUGCUGAAUUUCCGUUGUUUGGUAAUGGAUGCUGGCCGUAUUCAGCCUGAGUAAUCAGACUUCUCUUUAAGAGUGGAAGGCUUAAUCAGCAUGUUGUUCCUUUUGUCUUUAUCUGCCAUUUGUUCAUCUUUAUCUGGCAGUCUACCAAGACAGAGUUUAUUGUCCUAGGUUCCUUGUAUAUCAGGUCACUCUUGAGAGGUCAGCAGCCCAAAUGAAGACACACUCAGACCAAUAGCUCUGUUCAGCGAGUAUUGUAAUCCAUUAGAUGCUAUUUCAAAGAUUGUGUAGAAAUAGAUGGUUGUUUUUCCCUGUUUUCAAUUAGCUGAGCUUGCACAUUUAAAAAUUGCUACUAGAAGAUGAUUCCAUAAGGAAGUGACCAUGUAGCCCAUUCCAUUUUGCUAGACUGUAAUUUAAUCUUUAGAAAUAAUCAGUUGUUGUUAUAGCUGAAUAUAAACUAAAAGUAUUAUUUGCCAUUUUCCACAAACUUGUCAUAUACAGAGUAAUAAAACCGUUCGACCAUUUAUGCAUCUUGCAAAUUCAUUCUGUUCCCAUAAUGUCUCACAACGAGAGGGUUUUUUUUAGGUCUCAUGAAGGUCACAAAGAGAAGUUUGGAAACCAUCUAUUCUGCUGCGCCUUAUAAAUGGUUAUUGAAUUGCUACUUUCAAAAACAAAUUCAGAAGACUAACAGUCUAGUUAAAAGGCUUCUGAAAUUGUCCUUAAGAAAAUUCCAGUGUCCUGACAAUCUAAGAUGAUUUGCUCUAACUAGGAAACAAUAUAGGGAGAAAAACUAUAGAGCCUUCUGAUGAACUAUCAUGAGCUAGACCAGCAGUUCUCAGCCAGACUCAGUUGUGAGCUUGUUAAAACACAGAUCAUUGGGCCCCAUCCCAAAGUUUCUGAAUCAGUAGAUCUGGGUAAGGAUCAAGUAUUUGUAUUUCUUUGCAGUUCCCAGGUGAUGUUGAUGCUAUUUGUCCAGGUACUAUACUUUGGAAAUUAUGGACUUAGAGGAUACUGUUUCUGGGUUUCCCCCUUUUCCUGUUCUUGUACCCUUGAAGACAGCCAUAAUAAAUAUUUACUGCUCCUAAGCAAUUCCAUGUUCCUGGCUUCCUGUUAGCCAGUUUUCCGUUGCUCUGGGAAAAUCAACUUAAACAAGAAAAGGUUUAUUUUGGCUCACAGUUUCAGAGUUUUCAGCCCAUGAUCACUUAGCUUUAACCUAAUUGGUAGAUUAAUCCACUGAUGGAUUAACUAGUUGUGGCUGGAAGAAGUAGGUCACUGUGGGUAUGACUUUGGAGCUUAUAUUUUGUCCCUGGUGAGUGGAGCUCUCUCUACUUUGUGGCUAUCAUGUCCUGGGUUGCUUUCCUCUACCAUGCCCUUCUGCCAUGAUAUUCUGUCUUACUUGGGGCCCAGAGCUAUGGAGUUGGUCAACCAUGGACAGAUGCGCCAAAAUAAACUCUUCUUCCUUUACAGUUGUACUUAUCAGGUCUUUUGGUCACAGCAACACAAAACUGAAUAAAAUAUAAAUUGGUACUGGGAGUGGGGCCAUUGAUGUGAUUAACCUGACCAUGUGGUUUUGAGAUGGUUUGUGGAGGAAGGAAUUUUUAAAAGUUUAGAGAAGCAAGCUAGAAAAGCUUUGGAAUGUUGUAAGCAGAGUUUAAUGGGUGAUUCUUGCAGGGCUCAGAAGACCAGACUGCUAACAGGAUUGGACAGUAAAGACUGGGCUCAUGAGGUUUCAGAGGAGGAGAACUAUAUUGGCAAUUGGACUAGAGGCUAUUCAUGUUAUAUUCUUGCAAAGAACUUUUCUACAUUUUGCCCAUAUUCUGAGUUUUGUGAGGUUGAAUUUAAAGGUUAUGUACUAAUAAAUCUGGUGGAAUGGAUAUUGUGGCUGACUUUUAGUCAACUUUACUGUGAUAAUCAAGAUUGGAAAGCAAGGCAGAUAGAUUUGAGAGCUUGCAGUUUGGCCAGAAAAGUGAAAGUAAACCUGGGGCUAAAGAAGUUGUGGUUGUUAAAGACAUUAUAGCUACUAAAGAGAUGCUAAGUACUUUGUGUGGAGACAAUAGGAAAAAUGACUUGAGGGCAUCUCAGGAAUUGACAAGAGUACAUGCAUUUCAGGCUCAAAGGGAUAAACAUAAAAAUUCCUUUAAGAAGAGAACUUGAAGGCACCCUGCUCACACAGGAGGACAUAGGAGGUUUAUUCACCAUGCUCAUCUGCCCGGGUACUCAGAGGCUGCUGCAGCCAUGGUCCCAGGAGCCUUGACCACUGCUCAGGAUGGUGGCAGACCUUGAUGUCAACCACAUGGUGCUGGUUCUCUGGGAAUGCAGGAUGUUGGACUUGGAGGGUCAUGGAAGAUUUCAAAGGAAGGGGACACCAGAAAAUAUAUAGCAGGGUUAGCAUCCCUGAGGACUAUCCCUGAGGGGGUGAUCCUCAAAGAUGUGAAAAGGAAGCUGAAGGUGUAGUAGAGGCCUUUAAGACUAAGAGAUGCCAGUAAUGCAGAACAUCUCCUGAGGAAAGAUGCAAGUAUUGAGUAGAGAUAAGCCAAGAGAGAGAGAGGCUAUGUGGGUUACAACAAACAACGCCAAUGGGCAGGGAAGCCCAAGCCCUAUAGAGAUCAAAUCUCUCUGCCAUUACCCUAGAUGCUGAAUGUGCAGCUAUAAUAUUUGUUUGCCCACUUGAAUUUAAAUCUUGCUUUGGUCUCAUCCCUUAUUUUUAUGCUCUAUUUCUCUCUUUUUUUUGGAAUGGAAAUGUUUACUCUGUGCCAUUAUAUAUUGGAAUAUAUAUAUAUAUAUAUAUAUAUAUAUAUAUAUAUAUAUAUAUAUCUUUUUUUUCUUUAUCGUUACAGGAGCUUACUAAGAGUUUGCUUUGAGUUUCAGAUUAGGCUUUGGACUUGGAUUUUUGGGCCAUACCACAACUGUUAAGACUGCGAAGAUUCUUAGAGAUGGACUGAUUACAUUUUGCAUUUUGAGAUAGAAAAGGCUUUUGAGGGACAAGAGUGGAAUUUUAUGGUUUGGAUAUGAGGUGGUUCCUAAUAAGCUCAUGUGAUAGACAAUGAAGAAAUGCUCAGAGAUGAGGUGAUUAGAUUAUGAAAGCUGUAACCCUAAUCAGUGGAUUAAUCCAUUUGGUGGUUUGAUUAUCUGAAUGGAUUACUGGGUGGAAACUAUAGGCAGGAGGGGUGUGGCUAAAGCAAAUAGGUCAACAGGGUGACCUACUUGGGGAUUGUAUAUCUUGUCCCUGGCUCCUCAUACAGUUUCUCUGCUUUCCAGCUGUCAUGAACUGAGCAGCUUUCCUCUCCCACACCCUUCUGCCAUGAUGUUUUGCCUCAUCUUGGGCCCAGAGCAAUGGAGUCAGCUCAAAAUAAACUUUUCCUCUUCUAAGUUGUUUUUGUCAGGUAUUUUGGUCACAGUGACAAAAAUCUAAUACAGUUAUUUAUUAUAAAUAAGAAUUGAGUAAACUAAAUCAGUGUUUCAACAACUUUGAUAAUAUUUUAUCAUGUUUUACAUGCUCCAUGUAAUUAUUGGUAAAUAGAAAAAAGGAUUGAAAAAUUACCGGGGCUGGGGAUGUGGCUCAAGCGGUGGCACGCUCGCCUGGCAUGCGUGCGGCCCGGGUUCGAUCCUCAGCACCACAUACAAACAAAGAUGUUGUGCCCGCCGAAAACUAAAAAAUAAAUAUUAAAAAAAAAAUUCUCUCUCACUAUCUCUCUCUGUCUCUCACUCUCUCUUUAAAAAAAAAAAGAAAAAGAAAAAUUACCAUUGGUUCAUUUCCCAGAAUUAUCCAUUAAAAUUAUUAAAAAUUUUGGUAAAAUUAUUUAAUAUAAUUUAGAAAAAGUUGUAAUAAUACAGUAUAUAGGACAUUUGUAUAUUUGUAUGUAACAUAUUUCUUAGUUCUUGUUUUUGUCUUUAAAAAAAAUCACCAUAAUUUUUAAUGACUGAAAAUAUUCCUCUGUAUGAAACUACUUGAGUAUAUUUAAAAGUAUAAAGAAGCUGGAAUUCAGCCAAACUUCUCUUUCCUUAAGACAGCAGUGAAAAUACACCAGGUACCAUUCACUGUGGAAUGCUAGACUCAUGGAGUUGGAAAGGACCUCCAAGGUCAUGCAUGAACAUGAGAAGACUCAGAGGAAUGCAUGAAUUUCGUUAUCUUUUUCUCAGUAGUAUAACCAUUAUAGCAACCAACUUUAUUUGAGAACUACAGGUAAUUAACCCUAGCUAUCGCCAUAACUCUUUCUGUAUUUUGGAUGAUGGAUGGCUGAUUUUUAGCAAAUGUACAUUUAUCCCAGAUAGAAUCCCAAUUUGAAAUUCUACUUAAGAAGCUCAUGUUUGUGAACAUUUUACAUCGAAACAAUUAUUAUGAAACAGUAAAAGAGGGGCCAUGGAUUAUUUCUUAUUAGGCUUUUCCUUCCAAGUGAGGGACAUUUGAUUUCAUACAAAAUUUAAGUAUAAAAGUAUUUAAUAACUUUAUCAGUUUCUUUUCUUUUAAUUCCAAUAGAAAUACUACCUGAAACUAUUUUGAAAAAUAUGAUACUGAUUCUCUUUUAUUCCACAAACUUGGUUAUUACCUUUUAUGCCCCUUAUAUGGUUGGCUAAGAGAAAGAAAAAAUAAUAAAAACAAUUUCCAUACAACCUUAAGGAGUAGGUUCAUUCUACUUCCUUGAAAUCAGCCUGCUGUAUAGGACUACAGGGUCAACGAGGAUUUUACAAAAGAAAAUCUUGGCUCUCUAUGCACGGCAGUGAUGUAAGUCAUUAUUAACGGAAUCAAUAUUAAGUAUCUUAUUUUAUAAAUAUUAACAAGUGAUGUAUAGAUGUAAAUGUAUUAAAUAACAAUAAUCUGCACAAUCAUACUAUUUCUCAAUAGUUCUAAAUGUACCACAUUUACUGUCAGAACCAACUGGAGAAGUCUGGAAUUUUUGUUUGUCCAAUUCUUCACAAAGAAAGCUGAUACAAAUGUGAGGGGAGAGUUUUAUAUGUUUAUAUCUGUUUACAUUUUUUAUGAGGGGGAAGUGUUACUUUCCCAAAUCUCAAUCAUCUGCUUUUCAGUCCAUGGGAUCUCAUUGGUGGGUCAUAUGAAUAUUUCUAAUUUUUCUUCAAAAGCAUGAAAUUUAUUCAAGAAUAGCAGUUAUGAACUUUGUUCAAUGGUUUUUAACAGUUUAACAUAAAAUUCAAUGUUCAAGGUUGUAUUUUUAUUUAUACUGUAUCAGAUGUGGAGAACAAAUGGCUUCAAGUGACAGUUCGGCCUUACCCUGGGAUUAGACCCAGGGGUGCUCUAUCACUAAGUUAUAUCCCCAGCCCUUUUUAUUUUUGAGACAUGGUCUCAUUAAGUUGUGGAGGCUGGUAUGGCCUUCAGCCUUAACACUGGGUAGGAGAGCUUUCCUCUGUUAAUUGCAAUAAUACCAGCCUGAUAUCUCAUCUCCACCAAAUAACUGUUUAUUAGUCUAAGUAAAUUGGGAAUACGAUUUUAACUCCUCAGACUGACUCCUUCUUCCUUUCUUCUUUAUCCUUAGUUUUCUUCCAGAUUUUACAGUUGGUCUUCCUCUUUUUGUCUUCCUAUAUCCCCUCCUUGUUGAAGAAGCAUUGCAUGAAGAUCAGCGAUCCCCCGAUAUAAGAGAUUCCCCAGCCUGUCAUUUUAAAUGCUUAGUUUAGAGUCUGGAGCUUAUUGCAGCACUUCAACUCCAUAUUCCCCCAAUUUAAAUUUUCUUCCUUAAACUUUUUCCUCCUCCUGACUUCUCCAUUUCUGUGAGCGGCCCUGCCACUUGUCUUGGAAGAGGCUUUUGAGAUCACUGACUCUCUCGCCUCCUUUGCCCCUUCCAUCCAUUAGCCACCACGUGCUGCCUGCUCAGCUUCCAUGAUCUUUCCCACAUCUGUCCCUUCUUUUCUUUGCCACAGCCCCAAGUCAACUGCAUCAGGGGUUUCAGCAAUGGCUGCAUGUUACAUCAGAGAUCAUGUGGCUCACUUUAGGGGGAAAAAAAAAAGGAAUCAAAUCCAUUUUAGCUACCCAUGCCAGACCAACUGAAUCAGUAGCUUGAGUGAGGAACCUGGACUUAAGAAUUUUUAAAAUCUCCCCAGGGGAGUAUAAUGUGAAGACAUGCUUGAUUCCCUGAAAUAGGUAAUUUGCAACAAAAGCCUCACGUGUCUUCCUCACUUCCUGUCUCUCUCUCCAGUCUAAUCCUUCCUCUGCAUCUCUGCCAUAUUAUUGGCUUUUUCUAUGACACCACUCUGAUAAGGGCAGCAACAUGUUCAAAUGGCUUCAUUGUCUCUCCACUGUUGCCUUCAGGAUAAAUUCAUGCUCUGUAUCCUGGUCCUGAGUUCUUCUGGAACUUGGUCCCAACUUCGCAGAUUACUUCAUGGUAGAAUUCUCUGUACACUAUAAACAUCUGCUAAAAUAAGCACACCUACUUGGUCUUAGUGAAUGUCUGCUUAUUCUGUUUCUCCUGUCUGAAUGGAAAUCCUUAUUUUUUUUUCUUUAUUGGUACCAGGGAUUUAACCCAGAGAUGCUUUAUCACUGAGCCAUAUCCCCAGCCCUUUAAAUUUAAUUUUUUAAUUUUUAGAGACAGGGUCUUGCUAAGCGGCUUAGGCCCUUGCUAAAUUUCUGAGGUUGACUUUGAACUUGUGAUCUUCCUCCCUCAGCUUCUGGAGCCACUGGAAUUACUGGCAUGUGCCACCCUGCCCAGCUGUGUUUCCCUAAUCUUUGUGUGAGACUGAGGUUGUGUUCAGGUACAGGUCACAGGAGUCCCAUGACUGCUUGUAAACUCUGGAAUGAAAACUGAUUUCUCUCUGAUUCUCCUGCUUUCUCUCAGACACCAAGAUGGUAGCCANGGGGUUUCAGCAAUGGCUGCAUGUUACAUCAGAGAUCAUGUGGCUCACUUUAGGGGGAAAAAAAAAAGGAAUCAAAUCCAUUUUAGCUACCCAUGCCAGACCAACUGAAUCAGUAGCUUGAGUGAGGAACCUGGACUUAAGAAUUUUUAAAAUCUCCCCAGGGGAGUAUAAUGUGAAGACAUGCUUGAUUCCCUGAAAUAGGUAAUUUGCAACAAAAGCCUCACGUGUCUUCCUCACUUCCUGUCUCUCUCUCCAGUCUAAUCCUUCCUCUGCAUCUCUGCCAUAUUAUUGGCUUUUUCUAUGACACCACUCUGAUAAGGGCAGCAACAUGUUCAAAUGGCUUCAUUGUCUCUCCACUGUUGCCUUCAGGAUAAAUUCAUGCUCUGUAUCCUGGUCCUGAGUUCUUCUGGAACUUGGUCCCAACUUCGCAGAUUACUUCAUGGUAGAAUUCUCUGUACACUAUAAACAUCUGCUAAAAUAAGCACACCUACUGGGUCUUAGUGAAUGUCUGCUUAUUCUGUUUCUCCUGUCUGAAUGGAAAUCCUUAUUUUUUUUUCUUUAUUGGUACCAGGGAUUUAACCCAGAGAUGCUUUAUCACUGAGCCAUAUCCCCAGCCCUUUAAAUUUAAUUUUUUAAUUUUUAGAGACAGGGUCUUGCUAAGCGGCUUAGGCCCUUGCUAAAUUUCUGAGGUUGACUUUGAACUUGUGAUCUUCCUCCCUCAGCUUCUGGAGCCACUGGAAUUACUGGCAUGUGCCACCCUGCCCAGCUGUGUUUCCCUAAUCUUUGUGUGAGACUGAGGUUGUGUUCAGGUACAGGUCACAGGAGUCCCAUGACUGCUUGUAAACUCUGGAAUGAAAACUGAUUUCUCUCUGAUUCUCCUGCUUUCUCUCAGACACCAAGAUGGUAGCCAUAACUCCAAGUUUCACAUCCUUGGUUAAUCGUUUUCAAGCCAGGAAAAAGCAGUUUUUAUCCACCUCUUCCCUGCUCCAUGACCCCCCAGGCCCUGUCUCCAAAUCAGGAAGGAAACCCUUUCCGAAUGUUUCUGGGAAGCUCUCCCUGCAUACCAUUGACCAGCAUUGAAUUAGAAGAUCACAUUUUGUAUGUGUGUGCGUGGUGGGGUAGUGGGUGUGCGGUACUGAGGAUCAGACCCAGAGUGCUCUCCCUCUGAACUAUAUCCUCAAUUCUUUUUAUUUUUGAGACAUGGUAUUGCUAAGUUGUGGAGGCUGGCCUUAAACUUGCAAUUCUCCUGCCCCAGCCUCCUGAGCUGCUGGGAUUACAGGUGUACACCACCAUGCCUGGCUCAGAGGACCACAUUCUUUUUUCGAGGAAGGCUGAAAGAUGAAUAUGGGGCAUUGGCAGCCUCUAAACUGGGAGGUUGACUCUUCCAGGAAAGGAGAAGUGAAUUGGGAGGGCAGAUACUCUGGGGAGGCAACCAAACAGGUUCUCCCAAAUUUUCUUUCUUGAAGUACAACACUCUGCUCCCAAAGUCCAUUCAGAUACCUCUCCAGGAAUUCUCGCCACAGGGAUACCAGGUAGAAGUUUUCUUUACGUACCUAUGGUACUUUUGUUUAUAUUUCCCAUUGUUCAUUGUGUGUUUGUGUUUUUUGUUGUUAUCUGUGUUAUUUCCCAUAUUUAAUUAUGAUCUCCUUAGAGGCCAGGGCUGUGGCUCUUUGUAAAUGUUGUAAGUUGAAUAAGAAUAUUUUGUUCUCAGAAUGGUAUUCUGGCAUUUAUUGCCCUCCUUUCAUUUGUUUGCCUUGUGCCAUUUCAAACUUGCUUUCAAUAUUCGUUUUAUGUGGCUAUUCAGCCAGCAAAGGUCGAGUUAUAGGGAGAGCAAAGACUCAGUCACUGCGUUCUCCCAAGCUAUUUCUUUCUUUCCGGUCAUUGGAGGGCAGUGGUCUCUCCUUCCCCACUUCUGCCAGCAUCAGAACUGAUGCUGGUAAUAAACUAGCUGUCACGUUCUGACCACCUUUAUUAUUCCUCACAAAAUAUUUGGGGUUCUCUGCUUAGAGUCCAAGGCCAGGCAGGCUGGAAUGCAUGCUGCCUGCAGGGCUAAUGAGAAAAGUCCCACCAGGGGUGACUCACCCCCACUGGGCCCCUCCAGGGAGGGUCAGCCAGGCAGAGAAGGGUGCUACAUCUUCACUCUGCUCAGGGGAGACACCAGCUUCAAAGACCUGGCUCCCACAGGAAAACAAAUGGGAAUCAGUGGGAGGGGGGGCACUGAGGCAAUGCGGACUUAUUAAAAGAACAGUAAUAGCAAUAAUUUUCAAAGCGUUAUUUAUUUGAGAGUGAAAGGACAGGGUUUUCAUUGGCUUGAAAUGCCAGAGCUUGGUUGCUUUCAACCACCCCUGUGGUGACUGAGCAGAACCCACCUGGAGUGUUAGUUGGUAGCAGCUUUGGGGGCAGAGAGAAGUACUUUGGAUCUUUGGUAAGCUUUGCCUAGUGUGCCCUGUGUUGAGCAAAAAGCCCUGGAAAAUUGUAAUUCUGCACUUGCUAUUGCUUAAAGUCAAAGGGGAAAAUGUGCUCUGGCUUCUCUCUCUCUCUCUCUCUCUCUCUCUCUCUGUGUGUGUGUGUGUGUGUGUGUGAAGUCUGUUUGAAAGUGCCACUUGGAAAUGGAAUUUUUCUGUCUUGGACUAGAGGCUUGCCUGGUGCAGCAAACACAGAGUAGUUAAACCAGAUUUUGCUGGAGUGGGGAGGUGGCUAUGCUAGCCGUCUGGAAGAAUUAAGUAAAGCAGUAGGGGGGCUGCCUGUUGCCCUGAAGGAGGGAUGUGGUUUGUUGAUAAAUUUUAAAAUAUGGUGACUCAGUUAAGAGGAAAUCAAUUGGAAAACUUUAAAUGAUUUAAUUGGCCGUUUGAAUGCUGGGGCUCCAAAGCCAUAUGAUUUCUUCUAUGUCCUGAUAGAGGAAGCAGAGGGACCUUCUCCACUUUAGCUUUCUUUUGAGCAACAAUUCUUUGAGGCCCUUUCCUUCCCCAGCUAGGCUAGCUCUGGUCCACAUGAUUGUUUCCUCUACAACAUAAAGAGUGAAAGCCAUGGGCCCUAUGGUGUGAAGGCCAAGACCAAGGCCAAGGCCAAUGGAGUCAGCAAGAUCCCAGGAUUCAUGCUUGGCUCUGGCUUAAUUACAAGGAUUCUGAAAAGGAUAGGGCUUAGCUGGGAGAACUUGGGAACUCAGAUGAACCAAAGGAAUCUGUUGUAUGAAUAACCCAAAUGCACACAGGAUGAGGCCAAUAAUGGAAAUGCUUUUGCAAAGUCACUAAUCCAGCAAAGCAAAGCAAACCAGAAUAUGUUCACCCUUCAAUAAUGUCACUGAGUGAUUAAUGUGUAUGAGGCUCUGGAUUAAAAGAUACAUAUUUUAUCUAAUUACAUAUCUGGAUCAGCUCUUCGAGGUUGCUAUGAUUAGCUUUAUUUUUCAGAUGAGGAAACUGUGGUUUGGAAAGGUUAAAUUAUGAUUCUUGAAACUUAGUGUGCAUCAGAACCACCUGGAAGGCUUGUGAAAACACAGAUUGCCCAAAUUCCUUCCAGCCUGACUGCCUUCCAACUGGGAUAUCAUGUAUUCCAACUUAGCUGAAAUGUCAACUCUUCCUGGGUCCCCAGUCUGCCAGGCUUUUUGUACUGGAGCAACACCAUCUGCUCUCCUGGUUCUCAAGCUUGCCCACUUACCCUGCAGGCCUGUGGCCAGGCCCAAGAAUGUGCAUUUCCUACGAUUUCCCCAGCGAUGCUAAUGCUAUUGGUUUAGGGAUCACAAUUUGUGAACCACUGCCUCAGAGUAAGGAAACCAAAAAAAUCCUUCUUCAUAAUUCCUUUGAACCAGCUCCUGCUGCUUAGCUUCUCCCAAGAGACUCAACUUUGUUUAAAUACUCAUUUAAUUUGCUGUGUGCAUGAGAUGAAUAAGAUGAAGCUCUUUCUUCCAAGGUGUUCAUAGGCUACAGCUUGGAGUGGGAGACAGAAUCCUUAGUGUAAAAAUUAUUUUUGCUCAAGUAUAAUAAGUGCCUGUACAGAGUUCAGUGAGGGCAAAAAGAAUAAAAAAAGAGAGAGUGAGCGGACAACCAGGUUUACUGGGAAUAGAGGACAUCUGAAGUCUCCCCAGGGGAAGGAAGACCUGGGCAAGAGAGGAGAGAUGCAAUGGACCAAAACUCAGAGAGGGUGGCCAACCCUUUUCCAAGUCCUCAUUUGUUUUUGGUUUGGCCUGGUUUCUUUUGGCUCUGCUCAUGGCCCUGUGGCUCUGGUUGGUGGUGCUUUCUAUGUCUGCCCUGCAGUGUGCUGGUUCUCACUCCUCCACCACCUGGACACUUCAGACCCGUCCAGGGGACACUCAAGAGGAAUGUGUGCCUAACCCCUUCCUCAACAAUUGUUUGGGGGAUUGAAAGAGGCUCCACAAGGUUUACAACCAGUGAAAAUUGUCGCCAGCUUCACAAUUCUGGCCAACAUGUCUAUGCUUUGAAGUCUGGUUGCUGCCUUUUACAAUUCUAUUUUUAAAAUGUAUUAAAGAUGUUUAAACGUGGCAGAGACUUCCAAUAAAAGCCAUGCUGCUUGAGAAUCAGGAUGCUGGUCUCAAUUUAAAGUGCCUGUUAAAUAAUAGGAUCCCCACGUAAAAAGGGUUGUGAAGGACUGACUGAAUAGCUCUCAUGGAAAUCAAGCUCACUCACCAAUGCCUCUGAUAGGAUUUCAGAGGUUAGCGUGUCCUAUAUCGAGACCCUGUUUAUGUCAUGAAAGUGCCUUUUAAUAUGAAGUGAUGGAAUUUUUGUUUGACUCAGUCACUAGCAAAAAAAAAAAAAAAGCAUGAAACUAAAACAGGAAAAAGUCUCUAAUAAAACAUUUUGGCAAAAAACUUUGGCUAAAAGCAAAGACUGAUAGGUAGUUCCUUUCAUUCUGCAAGUCAUGGCUCCCUAAAGAGGAGUCUGGGAUCAUACUAUACUUUCACAGAAUCACAACUCUGAACAUCAUUUGGGGACCAAUGUUUCUCAACAGUUGGUCUAUUUUGUCUUGAGAAGUUUAUUAGGCCCUUUGGGAGGCUGCUAAAAAGAAAAGACGUGGUUCCUGACCUGUGCGCUCCCCACCACUGCCCCCUCUCCAUUGCUCAGAAGAGCAUGAUAGAUUCCAUUACACCCACUUUUCUUCAUCUUUGUGACUAUUAUUCAGGUCCUCAUCUAUAUGUCGCAUACUGUAGGACGAUUUAUUCAACACCGAUUUCCACAUUCUUUUUUCAGUGUCUCCAUAUACUUUAGAAUCUAGAUUUUCUAGAAGCUUUAGAAUCUCAGGCUCUCUGGAAGGCAAGAGUGGACACAUGGCAUAGUCUGACCCUUGGGAUGUAAACCAAGGUUGUCUGAGGAUUUCUGGGAUGCUCCAGCUUUCCCCAAACAAGCCUGGAUACUUCCUUCUUCCCAUCUUUCCUUCUUUCAGCUGCCUGAAAGGCCAUGUGCCUGCUGGAUCUGUAACUGUCACCCUGAGACUCUAAGAGCAAUGCCAAGAGAACUGCGGGGCCACGUUGACCUGUGGAUCUGAGUGUCGCGACUGUUGACUUCUGACUUCUCCUUAUGGAAGAAAACAAAACCCUCAUUUGUUUAAGCUAUUGUUGGUAAGUUCUUUAUUAUUCAAAGCCCUACAUACUUUCUGAGUUGUUAGAUGCACUCAGAGUAAUUAAGUUACUUGCUUGAGCACAUAUAACUGGGAAAGGCAGAACCAGUAUUAAAUCUAAUGGAUAUCAGGUUAACUCCAAAAUUUGUCUCCACUGAAUAUUGGCUGUGAAUCCCUUGCAUAGUGUGGCGACUAGUUGGAACCUUUCGUGUUUUCCCUUUCUUUCAUGAGGAGAGAGCUCCUGAAGUCUGCUGCAGCAUAGCUGUCUUGGUGGGUGUGGGUGGUGGCUUUGUGACAUGACUCAUUCAGGAAGGGUCCCUGAAAAGACCUCUCUCAAUUAUGUGUAUCAGGCAACUGGGACUUGGUUGCCCUGGGCAAAGAGUAAUGGGCCCUUUCUGUGAAUUGACAAGAGCAGCCCUCCAAAUAACAACUUAGUGUGUAGGUCUGAUUAAUGUGGGAAAAUGAGGAAAUUUUCAUAGACAUGAAGAAUCCUUCUGGGAAGAACCAGUGGCUGCCAACCCCACUACUCCCACAAGACCCUUUGGAGGUUUAACAUCUUUAGAUGCCUUUGCUGGACUCGAAAUAAAGAAAAGUAAAGAUCAUCCAAAAGGGAAUUCCUCACUAGGGAAAAUAGUGAGGCUGGCUCAGCAGCAAUACCUAGAUUGACUUAGAGAAGUGUUGGCUCCGGAACAAUGUGGACCUGCUUUCAGAAUAACAGCUGUCACCCUGAGACUCUAAGAGCAAUGCCAAUAUCAAUAUUCAUUAUAUUUGAACCAACUUUCAUUGUAUUCAUAAGCACAGAUAAGGUCUGCGCACAAAGCUGAACCAGAAAGAGGACCACUGUACAGCCAAAAAUGCCUCAGAGCAUCGAGGGCCAGCAACAAGUCAUUUGCAAACCAGGACAUCUUGUGGCCGGGUUCUCUAAUUUGCUCUCAAGCACACCCGGGCCUCUCUAGAAUGAGGGAAUACACGGACACUUAGAUAAUGGAGAAAGAUAACCUUAAAAAGAUCCUGGAUUCUUGUUAUUCUGAUGAAUGAGGAAUCAAGAAAUUUUAAUUUGAAGAACAUGAAAGGUGGUCAAAUUUGUCUCCUGAAUGGUAAAAUAAAACCUGAAGUUGUUGUAAAAGAGCUACGUAUACAAGUACUAGGGUUAAUAAGAAAAAAACCAAGGGAAAAUGUUAUAAAUGAGAUGAUCAAAAUGUGCUUAACCAGGAUUGUUCUUAAAAUGUAAUAAUCUAUUUAGAAUUAGAGUACACUCUGUCAACUAACUCAUAUUUCAAAGGCUCCCUUUAUGUUAAAUUUUUUCCUCAAUGGGAGUCUCUGGAAUAAAUAUAUAUAUAUAAAAAGAGAAGGGGUGGGUCAUGGGGAAAGUCUGUGGUAUGUUAUUUUCAUUCCAUGUUAUUCAACCUGACUUUAUAUGCCAAUAAAUAUUCAUACUGGCUAGAAGCACAGAAAGUAUUAACCUCCCAGCAUUGUGUAGGAAGGAAGCUUCAGGCCCAAUACUAAUGAUGUUUGCAUUAUUUUAUCAGUAUCUGUUAGCCUUGGUCCAUUCAGAAUCACGGUUUUGAAGUCAACAUCAUUAUUCUAAAAGUAUACAUUAAAUAAACAAGAGAGUGAAAGAUGAGCAGCAGGGCAGAUUUGAUGGCUUCAUUGGUGUUUGGCUUAAUUGGCAAUAUUGAUAAGAUUAAAUGCUUACGAUUCUAGAAACAGCAAAAUAUUUAGAGUUUCAGUUUUAAAUCCAUUCCAGACUUCUACAGAAAAAACACAAAACCCUCUACAUUAAAAAUUUCUAAAAGGCCUGAAGUUUUUUUUUGCUUCAUGUAAGAGGCCUCAUGAAAAAUUUUAGCUCAUCAGAAUGCUUCCGGAAUUGGGAAAGGAGGGAUCUAAAGGGUUUGAAUACUUAUGAGAUUAUAAUACUUAUGAGAUUAUAUAGGCACUCUGCUAAACACUUCCUGUUUAUUUUUUUAAUCUCCACAGUAAUCACACAAAUUAGGUAGUAUUAGUAGGUACUAUUCAUUAAAAUUAAUAUUAAUUGAUGAGUCAUAAUUAUAUGAGGUACAAUGUGAUGUUUUGAUAUACAUACACAGUACAAAAUGAUUAAAUCAAGCGCUAAUUGAUAUAUCCAUCACCUUGCUUACUUGUGAUUUUUUUUAUGGUGAAACAUUUGAAAUUUACUUAGUUAUUUUGAGAUAUGGAACAUAUUAUUAUGGACUAUAGAUUGACCUCAUUGUACAUUAAACCUCAAAACUUAUUCCUUCUGCCUAUUCAAAACUUGGGAUCUUGGAUCAAUAACCCCUUCACUGCUCCAACCUCAGGCAACUAUCAUUCUAUUAGCGUCCACAUGGAAGUGCGAUCAUGUGAUCUUUUUCUUUCGGUGCCUGGAUUACUUCACUCAGCAUCAUGUCUUCCAGAUUCAUCCAUGUUGUUUUACACAUCAGGAUUUUUCCCCUUUCACAGCUGUAUAGUAUUCCAUGGGUUCGCAUGACACAUUUUCUUUAACCAGUCAUCCAAUGAAUAAAGCCGCAGCAGAUAUGAAAGUUCUAUAUGUUACUGAAUUAAUUUUCUCAUGUUUUCCUGAGGACUUUUGUGUCUAUACUCAUAAUGAAUUUUGGUCUGUAGUUUCUGUUUCUUGUGAUGUGUUUUUUAGAUAUCCCUUGAUAUUUUGAUUUCACUUCCUUUGUGUAUACAUCCAUAGGGAGAUUGUGGAUGGCAAGGGUAGUUCUAUUUUUAGUUUUCUGAGAAAAUUUCAUACUGUUUUGUUAGAGUCUGUAAACAAAUCUGGAUGGCGCCUGGCAAAAUGCCAGAGGGAGUGGUUUGUGAAGUAAUGCCAGCGAGCCAUUAAGUGUGGAGAUUUCUUAUUGGUUGACUGAUGUAUCUAGUUUAUGCUAAUUAGAUAAGCUGUGUGGAAUGUAUAAAUACCGCUCCUGUCCUGCAAUAAACGGCUCCCACUCCUGCUGUAUCAAUGUACACAAGUUGUUCGUCACCCCCCGGCUAGUUUGCUGCAGCUGGACUGCGGCACUGUUUUCCAUAAUGGCUUAUUUAUUCCCAUUUUACAGAUGAAGAAACUGAACCAUGGAUUCAUGAAUUGCUCCAAGUUCUACAACCUAUAAGAAUCAAAGUCAGGGUUACAUUCUGAUUGCCCUUGUGAAAGUGCCUGUUUAAGUUGUACCCCCAACCCCCACCACCUUUACUUCCCCAUAUCUUUCUUCCUCCUUCCAGAUGUUUCUCAAUGGGAAUUAAGGAAUUGUCCAUAAUUCACACAUUUAAGGCUAAGGCUCAAUCAGAAAGUAUAAUUUUCAGGCAUACAUAGUUUUACUGACAUUGCUAUUAUAGGGUCUCAAAGGAAAUAUCUGCUGAAAUUGUAAUGGUUGGCCUUUGUCAUGUGAUGGGAAAUCUAUAUCCAUCUCUACCACUAUUAUAGUUUCCUUGAAGCCAGGUGCCUUAUUAAUUUUGAAUCUCCCUAGGAUCUGACAGAAUAUGCUAGGCCUUACUAGAAGACAUUGAAAAAUGUGUUGGUUAAAUGAUUGAUACGUAGUAUAGACAAAGUGGGAAACUAAACUUAUUUAUGUUAGCCAGAGCCAUUCUCAGGCUAUAGGUCAGAGCUAAAUUCUGGGAGCCUUGGCUGCCGGCAGCCACACCAAUGGCUGCUGCUAUGUUCUUGUGAUGGGAAGCGUGCCAUAUUUUAAUCUUGAUUUGUAUCAAAUGUAAGUGCAAAUUUGAAAUUAUCUGAAUAGAGUGUGUACCACUACAAAAUUAAUUUUCCUCAAUUGUAGUCCCAUAGUGAGCACUCUGGCUUAAGUAGUCAUAUUAAUUUUCUAUUCCUACCAUAACAAAUUUAUUUUAUGUGCAUAGAAUUACAGAAAUGUGGUAUUUAUUGGCUGACAUUUCACUUAGAAUAACAUUUUCAAGAUUCAUUCAAAUUAUAGCACGUAUUAAUAGUUCAUUCUUUUUAGAACUGAGUAAUAUUCCAUUAUAUGGAUAUACCACAUUUUGUUUAUUCAUUCAUUAGUUGAAUAUUUGGGAUUUUUCUACUUUUUUGAUUGUUAUGAAAGAUGCUGCUUAGAACAUUUGUGUACAUAUUUUUAUAUAAACAUUUUUAUAAGUUUCUUGAGUAUACACUUAAGAAUGGAAUUGAUGAGUCAAAUGGUAACUCUAUAUUUAACUUUUUGCAAUCGCCAACUGUUUCCCACAGUAGCAACGCGAUUUCAUCCUCAUUAGUAAUGUAGGAGGGUUACAAUUCCCCACAUCCUCUCUCAUAUUUGCUUUUGUCUGGGUUUUAAUUAUGGCUGUUCUAGAAGAUAUGAAGUGGUAUCUCAUGGUGGUUUGGGUUUGUAUUUCCCUAGUGACUAAUGAUGUUUGAGUAUCUUUUCAGUGCUCAUUGCCUUUGAAGCAGAAAAUUUUUAAUUUUAAGUCAAAAUUGACCUAUUCUUUUCUUUUGUUGCUUGUAUCUGAAGUGUCAUAUAUAAGAAACUAUUGUCUAAUCCAAGGUCAUGAAGAAUUAUACCUGUUUUUUGUUCUAAGAAUGUUAUAGAUUUUUACUCUUCCAUUUAGGUGUUUAAUCCAUUUUAAUAUUUAUAUAUGGUAUGAGACAGAGUUCAACUGUUUUCUUUUUCUUUUUUUCUUUUUGCAUGUGCAUAAAGUUUAAGUCCAUAAGUAUAUUCUGGACUCUCAAUUCUAGGCCUUGAGCUUUGUCUAUCCUUAUGCCAUUAUUAUACAGUCUUGAUUGCUGGUAAAUUUGGAAGUCAGGAAUUGUGAUACCUUGAUUUUGUUCUUUUUUUGUGAUUGUUUUGGCUAUCCUGGGUCUCCUGCAUUUCCAUGUGAAUUUUAGGAUCAGUUUCUAAAUUUAUGCCAAAAAAUGGCAGCUAGAAUUUUAAUAGAGAUUGCAUUGAAUCUAUGGAUCAAAUGGGGAGUAUUGUGUUUCCAACAUUGUUCAAAUCCAUGAAUGUGGAUUCAAGUUUUUAGGUCUUAUUUAAUUUUUUUCAAUGAUAUCUUACAGUGUUCAAGUCUUGAUUCAUUUUAAAAAAUAUAUUUCUAACUAUUAUAUUCUGUUUGUUGCUAUUAUUAAAUUAUUUUCUUCAUUUAAUUUUUUGAUUGUUCAUUAUUGGCAAAUGGAAAUAAGUAUUUUUUGCAUAGUUAUCUUGCAUUCUGUAACCUUGAUGAACUUGUUUAUUAACUAUAACAGUUUUAUUGAUUUCUUGGAAUUUUCUCUAUACAAGAUCAUGUCAUUUGCAAAUAGAGAUGGUACUUCUUCCUUUCUAAUCUGAAUGCCUUUUAAUUCCUUUUCUUGCCUAACUGCCCUUCCAUAUUAAAUGCAAAUGGCAAUAGUGGACAUCCUUUUUGUGUUAUUGACAUAAAUGAGAAAACAUUUCAUCUUUCUUCCUUAAGUAUGCUGAUAGCUGUGGGGUUUUGUAGAUAUAUUUUGUCAUUUUUGAGAAAUUUCCCUUCUAUUACUAGAUUAUUGAGUGUUUUUAUUAUGAAGGGUGUUAGAUUUUGUCAAAUGUGUUUUGUGUGUGUAUUGUGAUUAUCAUGUGGGCUUUAACCUUUUUCUACUAAUAUAGUGUUACAUUGAUUGAUUUUUAAUAUUGAACCAACCUUGCAUUCCUGGUAUAACUCACACUUGGUCAUGAUGUACAUUCCUUUUUAUAUGUUACUGAAUUAAUUUGCUAGCAUUUUCUUGACGACUUUUGUGUCUUUAUUCAUAAUGGAUUUUGGUCUAUAGUUUCUGUUUCUUGUGUGGUGUUUUUCUGGGCUCAUAAAAUGAGUUUUGAGAAGCAUUUUUUAUUCCUCUAUUUCUCUAAGAGUUUGUAAAAAAAUGUGUUUAUUCUUUAAUAUUUGGUAGAAUUCUCCAGGGAAGCAUUUUGUUCCAGGAUUUUCUUUUUGGGAAGAUUUUGGAUUGCUAAUUAAAUUUUAUUCUUUAUUAUGAGUUUGUUCAGAUUCUCUAUUCAUUCUUGAAUUCAUUUUGUUAGUUUUUGUCUUUCCAGGAAUUUAUCCACUUCACUAGGUUACUUAUGUUGUUAGUGUAUAAUUGUUCAUAGUAUUCCCUUAUAACCUUUUUAUUUCUCUAAUGUCAGUAGUAGUGUUUCCUCAAAUGAGGAACAAAAUUCCUGGUUUUAUUAAUUUAAGCCUUCUCCAUUUUUUCUUGGUUAAUAUCUUUUCCAAGAAACAACUUUUGUUUUCAUUGACUCUCUUUUGAUUUCUAUUCUUUAAUUCAAUUGUUUUUGUUAUAAUUGCUAAAUUGCUUAAGGCUUUGCUAAAUUACUGAGGCUGGCCUCAAACUUGUCUCCUGCCUCAGCCUCCUUAGCUACUGGUUUUACAGGGGAAGAAUUUUUUUAGCCAUUAUUUCCUCAUACAGUCUUGCUACCCUUUUUCUCUGCCAUCAUUUGGUACUCUCAUCAUGUACAUGUCUCUGAGACUAUUCACUUUUCUUUCUGUUCUUCACACUACAUAAUCUUCACUGAUUUAUUUUUAGGUUUGCUAAUUCUUUCUGAUGUCUGCUCAAAUCUGGUCUUGAGAACUUCAAGUGAAUUUUUCAUUUCAGUUGGUAUUUUUGAACUUAGAAUUUCUGUUUUGUACCUUUUAAUAAUUUCUACUUCUUUAUUAAUAUUCUGUAUCUAGUGAUACAUGAUUAUUAUAUUUUUCUUUAGUUCUUAGGGUGUGACUUUCUUUAGUUUAAUAUAUUUAAAACACCUGAUUAAAAGGUUUUUUUUUCCUAGUAAGUCCUAAACCUGCAUUUCCUCAAGGAAGUUUCUAUUGAUUGGGGUUUUUGUAUUUUGUUUUGUUCUAUUUUUGUUGAUGUGGUUGUUUACUGUGUAUAGUCAUACUUUUUUUUUUUGCAUGUCUUAAAAUUUUUUAAUAUUGGACAUUUUAAAAACAAUAAUGUAGCAACUCUACAAAUCAGAUUUUACCCUCUAUCCAAGGCCCGUUGAUGUUACUAUGUGUUAUAGUUGUUCUUCUCUGUUUAGUAACAUCUGAACUAAUUCUCUAAAGUCUGUAUUAUUUGUUAUGUGUGAUAGUUGAAAUCUGCUUGUUUAGCUCAGUGGUCAUCUAAUUACAACAAGUUUUCCAGUCUUUGGUAAGAGACUCUAAGUAUAUUUGUGAGCACAUCUUCAACACUAAGGUAGGCAGUUCACAAACUCUGCCUUAGCCUUCACUUCCUGAUUCUAUAGAUCUUUAUGGCAGCUAGGUAUAAGAGGUUAGAGUCUUCUCAGGUCAUUCCUGAGCAUGUGCACAGUCCUAUACGUACAUGGACUUAAUGAUUCCCAGGAAUAUAUUAGAACAUUGAAACCCCUAUUGGCAAUUCAUUUCACAGUUUUUCCUUUUAAGCUUUUUGGGCAGUCUAUUAUUUCUAUCAAGUGUAAAACACUUCUUAAGCACUAUAAAGCUAAACACUUGCCUGUAACCAUUUUCAAUAGUCAUCUUCAGUGAACAUACUUUGCACUUGGGAAAACUCUGAUUCAGGUUAAAUAAAGGCAAUCUUAUAUCAAGGAAGACAUUUGGCAUUUGUUUUUUAAGGAUUGGCUAGCUUCGCUUAGCAUAAUCUGCACUAAUGCCAUCCAUUUUCCUGCAAAUUCCAUGAUUUUGUCAUUUUUUAGUGCUGCAUAAUACUCCAUUGUGUAUAAAUGCCACAUUUUUUUAUCCAUUCAUCUAUUGAAGGGCAUCUAGGUUGGUUCCACAGUCUAGCUAUUGUGAAUUGUGCUGCUAUGAUCAUUGAUGUGGCAGUAUCCCUAUAGUACGCUCUUUUAAGAUCCUCAGGGAAUAGUCCGAGAAGGGCGAUAGCUGGGUCAAAUGGUGGAUCCAUUCCCAGCUUUCCCAGGAAUCUCCAUACUGCUUUCCAAAUUGGCCUCACCAAUUUGCAGUGCCACCAGCAAUGUACAAGUGUACCCUUUUCCCCACAUCCUUGCCAGCACUUAUUGUUGUUUGACUUCAUAAUGGCUGCCAAUCUUACUGGAGUAGGGAGGGGAGGGAAGGGGGGAUAGUAGGGGAUAGGAAAGGCAGCAGAAUACAACAGUCACUAAUAUGCCAUUUUGUAAAAAUGUGAAUGUGUAACCGAUGUGAUUCUGCAAUUUGUAUUUGGGGUAAAAAUGGGAGUUCAUAACCCACUUGAGUCAAAUGUAUGAAAGAUGAUAUGUCAUGAGCUUUGUAAUGUUUUGAACAACCAAUAAAAAAAAAAUAAAGACAAUCUUGCAAGUACCAUUUUCCAGGAAACCUCUGAGAAGUUCAAACAAUGACAAGACUGUGGGAUGGGACAAGAAGCUCUGACUCCAGUGGCUGCUAGCUGAUGAUUUUCACUGUGAUUAUGGGCUAUCGAUUUCUAAGGCUGCCAUUGAGUUGAUGGGAAAUUUUGAUGUUCUCUUUCUCAAUUGGUUUACUAAUCUUCAUGUGUUUUGUUAUCUGAGUUUGAGUCUCUUCCUCCCUCUCCCUUUUGCCCUUACCUUCUCCUGUCUAGGGUAUUCUUCUCUAUUACCUGCAUUUGGUUCUCUAGUUCUUGAAUUCUAGAACAUGAUCUGAUACUGUAGGGUGCAAGAUUUCUGUUCCACAGCAAUAUUAAGGCCAUACAGGUACAUUUAUAAAGGAGGGUUGACCCGGGUCCCAUCUGCCUAUCUUUUUCCUCUUAUCUUCCUUGUUGAUCUUUCUUUUAUGACUGGGCAUUAUCUCCACAGCCCCCAACUUCUCAUAGUGAGAAUAACUCUGCUUUCUUUGGGAAUCUAAACUCCUUAGUGCGUCUGUCUUCUUAUUAUCUAUGCACAUUCAAACUUAAAUUCUCCAUAUGGACAUGACUCCCAAGGAAAUUCCAUGUGGGAAAACUUUUAGAAUUUUGUAAGAGUAAACUCGGAUCUCUGAAAAAAAAAAUGUUUGUAAUUUUGGGGGUAAAUUUUAAAAUUAUGAGCUUCACUAGCCGUAGGGUUUAAAUAUUUUCUCAACUAGUAGAUAUGAAAAUUAAAAAGACCAUUCAGAAUGAAUGUUGGACAUAAGGCUAGAAGAGGGAUCUGCCAUGCCAGGCAGCCAUUCUUUGGUUGCUGGAUCAUGGGGAGUUUCGAGGAGUCAUGGGGGUGGAGAGGCCAGAGAAGCAGAUGUGGGGGAGAGGUAGGGAUGCACUUGGUGCUCAAAGCAGUGGCUGUUUGCCAAAAUGGAAGUUAUGUCAGUGUAUUAACAGCUGGUGUGCUAGCAGCUGAGCAUCAGCCUUCAGCCCUGGAGUCUAAUCACUGUGCGGAUGGGGAGUACACUCCUUUGCUCACUGAGGUCUUCUUAGGAUCUACCAAAGUUUCAGUCUUAUAUUAAACACAUUAUAUGUAUGAACUAAAUAAAUAAAUGGGCAAUGAAUAAAUAUACACAUAAGGACAUGCCUAACCCAAAUGGGAGUGCAUAUCAGUAAAACAGCAUUAUGAUACUUGCCCUUCUUUUAAUUUCAUAGAGAGAACUAUGAGAAGACAGGGCAGGGUGUGGUGACACAUAUCUGUACUCUCAGCUACACAGGAGGCUGAGGCAGGAGGAUCACAAAUUUGAGGCCAUGUCUCAAAAUAAAAUAAAAUUUAAAAAGGGGCUGGGGAUGCAGCUUGCUUGCCUAGAAUGUGCAAGGUCCUUUGUUCAAUUCUCAUUCCCACCAAAAUAAAAAACAAAACAAAACAAAACAAAAACCCACAUACAUAUUGUUGACACAGUACCUGGCACCCUGUGAGAACCAAUGCUUUCAAUAAUAGCAACAAUGACAGUCACGGUCAUAUCUUUUGGAGUCACUAUUUUACUUUUCAGCCAGAGUUCUAAGCAAGGCAAUUCUAAAAAUUGCAAUUCAUUUUUUUCUAGAAAAUAUUCCCAAUGCCUUCUGAUGAACUGAAGAGUGAACCAAAGGUAGGUAAAUGUUCCUUUCAGGUGUCACCUACUUUAUACCUAGUCCUCCGCUCUGCUCACUGCCACCUCCAGUCCCCAUACAAAUAAUACAGUUAAUAUGCAACUAUGGGAAGCUCCCCAAGGUGCAGGCAAACACACCACCAAAGAAAUUUCUUGAACGGUUGCAUGCUGGCCUUGGAGGAUGGGCUUCUGUGUGCUCAUUCUCAGCACUCCCCAUUCUCCUACAGUCUUCCUGGCCCGGAUGGGCAAUCAUCACACUUCAUUGUCCAGUACCAUCAUUACAAUAUUGUUAUCAUCUGAGCUGGAGUCUGACACUUUCUCUAAGACCUUUCAAAUAACCCCUUUACUAGGCUUCAGUACCAAACCAUUCAGGGCAAAUCUCUGCUUUGUGCUUGUCAGCCUUAAUAGACUGGAUGUCACUUGAGCCUGUAAAAAGUGCCUGCUCCUCAGCUGUCAGUCAGUCCUGGUGGUGUCAGCGAGAGCGUGGCUGGAGCUGGCUGGAUUAGAGGGUAGUUACCAUAGCUGUCAGAUUACUGACAGCCUGACACCCACACUCCCAACUUCCUCUUACUCUAUUUGGUUUCUAUUGAGCUCUCUGGACCUGUCUUAAGGUGGAUCUCUCUGUUGGAAACAAAUCAUAAUUUGGCUAGCAUCAUCAGAAGUUCUAAGUUUUUAGAAAGCCCCUUACUUUGAGCAGCUUUUAUAUUUUAGUGAAUAUGUUUAACUUCAUUUCAGCAAUAGGGCUACCUCCCCACACUUUCCAAGUUUAUGGAAACCGUGUGCAGGUGUAUAUGCAUGUGAUUUCAGUUUCAGUGUCCUAAUUAUUUAAGGAUAUGUAAGUCUCACCAGAAAUGUUUUCCUUUGCCUCUUUCUCAUCUAUGGGAUUUCUUCCUCCUUUUGAUCAUACCUUUUCUCUGGCCCUUUGUGUUAAAUGGGAGACUCGGUUUUGAGAGUGUGUGCAUGGGCCUGUGUGUGUGCACACUUGUGUGCUGGUAGGUGUAUAUGCAGAACUGUUGAAUGUUUGUGGACAUACAUUCAUACCUAAUGGAAGGCAGUCAGCUAACAGCCCAGGCAGGAAGAACAAAUUGGCAACUGUCCAAACCAUGCCUUAGUUAACAUUCACCUUCAACACAGCCAAUUAGUGAAUGAAGUUCACUCCCUCCUUCCGGCUCUCCCUCUCCCUGGUUUUCAUUCACCCUUGUACUCCCUCCUCUCCCUUUUCCUCCUUUCCUCCUUUUCCGAUUUAUUAAAGGUUCACUAUCUGGCAGUCCCCAGACUGGACACCAGGCAAACAAAUGAACGUAAUGACACCCUGUACACAAAUUCACAGUUGCCUGCUCACAUUCCUCAGGUAUGUUUGAAAUUUACAAGCUUUUAUUUCUGACAAGGGAGCUGAGCUUAAUUAACACUUUCAUUUACUUAGCUAAUAGUCAAGGCUGAUUUGCUUUUAUUAAACCAGGCUUUGGGACCAGAAAUGCAACUUUUGCACAAUCUUAAAUUUGCUUACUAUUCUAACCUGCUACGGAAUUAAACUUGAGUCUGCAUUCUGAGCACGGCCUUCAGCCCACACAGGCACAUGCAUGUUUAGUGCUGUGUUGCUACAGGGGAGAGAAAGCACCAGGCUUUCAGAAAUGUACUUGCAUCCUGGGAAAGUCAUUGCAUCUAUCUCGCUGAACUACAGUUAUCAUGUCUCUAAAUUGGAGAUAAUGAUAUUUAUCUACUAACUUCAUAGGUUUGGUCUACAGUCCAAAUGUGACUGGAUACACAUGCACACAUACACAUACAUAUAUGUGUGUGUGUAUGUAUACAUGCACACACACAUUACAAAGUGGAAAAUGUCACAAAUACAAAUUGUGAUCAUCAGUAGGACUCUAUAUGGUUAUAUAUAAUUUGAGAUAAUCACUUGAUUAUUUACCCUAUUUUACUUAUUCCUGUUUUCUUGGCCAUACAUGCUUUGCUUUGGCUUAGCACAUAACUACAUAGCUGAAAAAAAAAUGCCCCACAAUAAAAAUAAAAGAUUACAUUUUGAUUAAACUUAUGAAUUCACAGUCAGGUUAGGAGCCUUUAGUGGUCUUCCCUGGUCCUCAUUAUGCCUAUAAGAAUGUGUGGCUUUUUAAGAUCUUUGUUGUUUUUCUAUAAGCCCAACAAAAUAGUUUAAAUUAAAAGGAGUCAGUAUCUAUCUCAAUUUCUGGGUAGUUAUGAAUUCCUUAUAAUUCCAGAAACUUGACAAAAUAAAGGUCAAACCAGAGACAGAAAAAUAUGUUGUGAACAUACUGGAAAAGGUGGGGGGCCAGAGAGGAGAUACAAGAACUUUAUGUUUUCAGUGCCAAAGCCAAAGACAUAUUUUUUCCUGAAUUUCCUCCCCAUUCCAAAAAAAAAUCUUUUUUAAAUAAAAAGACUCUUAUAUUCCACCCAAUUAAAUGUUGGAAAACAGCCCUUCAAUAUUAUUUACAAGCAUUUAAAGGUUUUAAAUUCAACCAGCUCCCCCACGCUCUCCCUUGCUCGAACACACAUUCUUUAUUCUGUGCGCCGCUGAGGCUGUCUACUCAGUACCACAAUAACCAGAGGUUCAAUUAUUCAACUAAUUUGGUGAAAGCAUCACAUCUAACAAAUAAUAAGUGGGUUGUGAAAAUGUUUAUUUGCAAACCAAGUGAUCUGACCACAGUUUUGCUGGACUUCCUGGGCAAGGAUUCCAUUCUGCAUCAGCAAUAGAAAUGCUUUUUCAAAAUUGACUCUUUCCUGAGCUCCACUUUGAAUGAAGGCCUGCAUUUUGCAAGGAGACCGUCAUAGGUAAGGGAUUCUGUGGCCCUAGUUCUGAGAAAGGGGAGAGGUAAAAACCUCCCCCUAUAGCUUUACACCAUAAUUAGCUAAGGAAAUAGACUGGUUGUCUUAAAAUAAAAACACCUAUCUUAUUUUUAACCAUAAAGUAAUAAGGAUGUUCUUCCUACCCCCUUUUCAAGUCUACCUUGGCCUAAAUUGCAAAAUGCAAAACCUCUGAAACCAUUCCUGUGGAUGGUACAGGCAGGGUGACUUUGAAAUACAGCAAGUAUUCUUGGGUUCAUAUACUAAUUCUUGAGCCUCAAUUUUCUCAUCAAUAAGACAAUUAAAAUCAUAAGGUUUAAAUGGGAUAAUUUAUAAAUUUGGCAUGGUGCCUGGUACAAAGUAUGUGCCUAAUGAAUAGUAGUUAUUGUUAUUACUCUUCCUUCUGCUUGCACCCUUCUCAAAUUCAGACCUAAGCUCUGAGUUUGUGAAAAGAUGUUAGUCUUCUUCCUACCUUUCCCUAUGUGAUGGUAUAUUCUCACUCAUCCAUCCAUUCAUCCAUCCUGGCAUUUAUUCAUUCAUUCAUGUAAUAAAUAUUUAAGGGUCUACUCUGUUUCAGGCAAGUCCAGGUGAAGAGCUGCAAGAUGAACAUGAUGUGCUCUCCAGGAUUCCCAGCCAAGUGGAGUAGACAGAUAUGUUAACAUUCAUAGGGGUGUAAUUAGAUCUACAACACAAAUAUAAAAAUGAGAUGCUGGGAAGCAGCAUCUUCUUCUGUUAGAAAUGUCAGGAAAGGUGUCUGAGAAAAGAAGAACUUUGAGCUGAGUUUGGCAGAACAUUUAAUGCAUAUGCAAAGACUCAGGUGUGACUAUAGCAGGGGCAGUGGGAAAACCACAGUCCACAGGGAUGUAAGGGAUGGUCACAGGCAGGUCCAGAAAUGGGCUGGGGUCCACUCAAGAGAGCCUUGUACUCUAAGCUUUCCUCAAAAUUUAUGGAUCUGUGGAAUAUUUCAAGAAAGAGAAUAACAGGAUCAGCUUUGCAUUCUAGAAAGGUCACUCUGAAGGAUGAGGGAUAUUCUUGAAUCAGGAAUUAGCCCAAAAGGUAGAUAUAACAAAGGCUUGAGUAAGACAGAGAAAGAGAGGGAAUGGCAUGGAGAGGUAAGGAGGAGGACACAACAGGUUUCCUGACAGUGUGGCUUUGGCACCUAAGGAGAGCUGGGCUCCAGGGUGGUUUCCGGUUUCCAACUCAAGUGACCCAAGUGGAACAUGGAGUCAUCAAUGAGUUGGCAAGAACAAAGUGGGACCUGACUUAGAAGAAGCUCCUAAAGGGAAAGAAGGGCUGGGAAACGGGACAGAUGGGUAUAUAGUUUGAGGCAAGUCAAAUAGGAGAUGAGAUAUUUAGUGAAAAUGUUCAGUAAAAAUGUGGAGCCCAGGUGAGGCCUGAAGAAGAGUCGGAUGUCCAGAGUGGCUCAAUGGGUAGAGUCAUAGGGGGAUGAGGCUGUACAGGAGAUGGCAGCUGAGAAAGGUUCUAGAUAAGGAGAUGGAGCCCCUGAAAUUCCAGCACAAGAACAAAGAGCCCAAGAGGCAACUGGGGAAGCAGAGUGGGUCCUGGGAGAGUGAAGGGGGUGGGUAUUUGAACAUGGUGGCAAAACGCAAGGGUGGCAAUUGUUACUUCUGAGAGAAGUCAAGUAAGCUGAGGGCCCUUCAGAAGAGAGGAUUACCAGCAACCCCAGUGGCAGGAGUUCAGUCACUCCUGUGGGAUAACAGGAUGAUAGGAGGAGGGUUAGAGAAUGGAGGAGAAAGUUUCUAAGUUUAUGGGGUGGAGUGAGAGGACUAGCUGUGAGUGAGAGGUGGAGGAUUAUAGGGUUAUCAGGUUCCCACUUUAGGGCUCAAGUCACACCUCUUGGCAUGCUGCUUUAUUUUCCUUACCACAUCCUUGAUUGUGGCUUGUAAAUCUUGAAGCCUGCUCCUUUAGCCCUCUCAGACACUCGGUUCAAAAAUAUGUAAUGAAUUGAAAGAAUUAGCAUUUGUCAUCUCCAAGAAUCCCAGGUGGCUUGAAAAAGUCCUGAGUAGCUUCAGUUACAGGUUUUUUGUUCUGAAACCUCUGCUUUCAAACUGAUUGCAUCACUGCCUCCAGGAACACCUGACAGGUAGGAUCCCCCCCUUGCCUAACCCUGCUUCCUUUCUCUCAGCAGGCAGAGUGACGAGCUGCCUGCAGUCUGCAGCUGAGGCACCCAGAGACCUGGUGUCUCUGAACAGCUCCGAGCGCUGCCUGCUCUGAGCUAGCCAGCUCCUGCCUGGGCUGAGCAGCGAGAGAGAAAGACAUCUGUGAUAUCCGAUGACAAUCAUCUCUGAUUAGAGUGUCACCACAUAGCACAGGCGAGCCGGGGCCACAGCUAAUUAGCUAUGUGAGGCCAGCACUGUUUACUGUAACUGUACUAACAAGUUGCAGCUUUUUCUAUUGCUGAAGAGUCAUUGCACAAAUGCCAGCCAGGAACCCUUCACUCCAACAGUUUAGGGACAGACUUGCUACCUCCUUACUGUACCAAUACCAGGAAACAUUAAUACCUUUGUGCCAAGAACCUCUUCAAGUCCAUGUUUCCUCCUUCUGCAUACCGUCACCUCAAGUCAUAAUAGUAGAAUAAGUUGCUUUAUUGAAUCUGAAAUUAUUCUAAAUGGGCUUGCACUUUUAAAUGGAUACCUCUUUUUCUUUUUUAGCACCCCUUGGGCUAUGUCAAGGAAUCAGCUAACUCUGGGAAAUACAGCUAAGAUGGCUUUGUCAUUUGAGCUAAAGUGUGACAGGAGCAGAUGGAAAGACCAGAAGCUUAAUGGGAAUUAAAGGCAUGCACUCUACUUUAUCCCAUUCAUGUUUGAUAUAUUUGAUCUAUUGUUCAUAAACAUAUUACCUUUAAGGAUAUAGUUCCGAUUUUUUGCUAUAAAACCCAUUGAAAUCAGUUUCAAGAUAUUUUUUCUAAGGCUUUUUCAACAUAAGAGAAAAUUUCCUUGUAAGUUCUCUUACACCCAUAGAAGAAGCAUUUCUCUAUAACUUCAAAAAAUGAUAUGCUAUCUUGCAGCUUCUAUAUCUUUUAGAAAUAAAUGCUUCUAACUCAGGAGCCUUGAAUUGGAAACAUUGUGUGUAUAAUACUGAUGAAACUCAUGUAACUAUUUGAGCUUGAUUUCAGGAUACUUUUAUAUUUUGGCCAUUGAGAAAACUUUGGAGAAUUUUACAAAGUCAGUGAAAAUUAGUAACAUCUUCCUUGGAAUUACUACUACCAGAAGCCUAAACCUUCACAAAUUGACUCAUUUGUUCGUCUGAGAAAUCUACCAACUUAUCUUCCCAAGUUCCCAAUCUAAGGACUUCAAAUAUUUUGCCGAAUUCCUACUUUCCUUCCCUGAGCCAAAACUAGUUGCUCAGAAACUUUCAGAAAACAGAAUGCCAAAAUAAUUCUGAAAGUCCAUAUGUUGUCAUAUACAAGUAUAGGACUUUUUACGGACACAAAAAACUGAUAUUUUAUUUUCCAGAGAAAACCAUGGACUAAACGUCUUGAAAAUACACACAGUGUUCCUAGCACCAGUGCAUAAAGUAGAAGCUCUGGAAAUGUAAAUACUUUCAAUAAAGCGCACUGUGGGUGCGUUAUUUCAUUUCAGUACUGUUUAAAAUUAAUUUAUCAUUGAAAGCACAUUUUAGAGUGAGUUUCCAUAAAUCUCCAUAUUUAGAAAUUCAAAAGUGUCUUUAGCAUGCUCAUUCACUUUGUUACUUUCAUAAUUUCCAACAAGCAAAGUUUCUUUUCUUAAUGAAAGUGGUAUUUUUAGGGAUAUUUUUUUGCUUUAACUUUAAACAAAAUUCCCUCUCCAGGAGGAAGGUUGAUUACCAAUCUUUGGUCUGGAGGUAAGUUUUACAGCUGUUUUAAACCCAUGAAAGUGGGUCUUAUAUUGGAAGUGCUGACACAGCCCUAUCCACCAUGUAUCGGCAUGAACUAUACCGCUGUAAUAAGCAGUUAUUAUGUAUGUGUAAAAAUAAUGAGAGGCCGUGUCUGAAGAGAGUUAAUGUAAAAUGCUAAGCAAUUAUAGUUGGUUACACAGUAUAGGUUAAUAUUCUUUCAUAUAGCUGCACUUUUUUUUUCUUCUUUUGUCCUCCAGAACUCCUAAUGAAAAUUUUGAGACCUGACUGUAAUGAUAAGCAGCCAUUCACACGUCCUUUGUGUCAAGGCUGCUGCAUUAGCGGCUCCCCUUCAUAUAACAUUUUGCAUAGCCUAAAGCAUCUAUUAAAAUCCUUUGUAAAAUUCAUGAAACAAAAGUGGUGGGUUGAGUCUAGGGGGAGAGAAAGUAAGCUGCUUAUUAGCAAAAAGUCAAAAACACAGGGCCAAUUACAGAUCUGAACAAGAAGGGCUAAGGAACAGCGCAGGGAGUAAUUCUUUCUUCAGCCCAAUGGGCUCAAGCGCGGGGCAGGUUGGAUGGAAAUAGCGCAACAGUCUGAGCAGUAAUUAAACAGAAAUGUUUGGAGUUAGAAACAGCUCUAUAACGACGGAAGGAAAUGCUCAACUCCAACUAUUGUCUGGCUUCACCAAGAUGCUAAAUUGGAAGGAUUUAGGGGUUGCUCCCUAAAGGAGAGAUGGGGGGUAGUGCAGAGGAGUGGGGGCUCAGGAGAUAUGUAAAGAAUCCGUUCUGUCUUUCAAAUGUUAUAAAUUAGAUUUAAAAGAGAGAGAGAGAGAGAGAGAGAGAGAGAGAGAGAGAGAGAGAGAGAGACCCGGAGAGAGAGAAAGAGGGAGAGCCUUCCUACCGAACCAGCAACAUAAAACUGAAUAAACCACAAUAAGAUUGCCCUUUUUCUGUUAUAAACUUGGCAUUAAGCUUGUCAUGUUCAAUGACAGCCUACUAGGCCUCAUGCUUUACCCUUUGGAAUUUGAAAGAUUGGCAGGUGUCAUGAUUUCCUUAACAUAAAAGACCUUGCAGAUAAUGUUCACCAUGCACAUUUAUACUUUCCUAACUCCACUUUCCUCCUCCCCGGCAUCAUCGGGUGAGCUUUCUACUCAGGCUGUGGGUGCUGGGGCUGCCUGGAAGUAUAUCUGGCCUGAGGACAAUGUUUACUGCCAAAGGAGCUUGCGGCAGAGGCUGUACUUUUAUGAUUCUCCUUAGCAGUCUAAACAUGCCCCACAUUUACAAUAAUGAGCUGCUUUGUAGAGAGCAGCGCUCUGAGAGCAUUGUUACUUCUCUUUGAAAUGUUGAAUGCAACCAGAAUGGCUCUCCUCUGACUUAAGGCUAGAAACAGGGUCCCAUUUAAACAAUAAUCCCCUCUCUUUGCAACCUCCCACUCCAGCCAGAUCCUUGCAAUAACUCCAAGGGGGGAAAAUCCCAUCAACAUGAAGAGAAACACAAAACUCCUAUGGAAGGCUGACACUUCUGUUUCUAGUGGCAUCUCUGAAUGGCACCUGUUUGCUACCACCCAAUGUCAUUUGAAAAUAAACAGAUGAGUUCCCCCACCCCCACCCCAGAGGAAUCAGUGGCCAGAAU
rnacentral:lncRNA from 1 species